UUAAUUUGAGCCAAUAUGUAACUCUGUAACAUUAAAAGUUGAAUCUAUCGUUUAUCUUUACGGAUUUAAUUAGUAUAUUUCAUAUAAUUUACGUAACUAUAAAUUUAAUUAUUAAGUAGGUAAUAGAUUAAAUUUUAUAUCCGAAGAGCUAUCAAAUUAAUUGAAUGAAACAAAUUAAAAGUUAGGAUACUAAAAUCAAAAUUUAAAAAUUUGAUAGUCGAAUUAAAAUAGUCUACAUGUAAUAUAAGUUUUAUAUAUAAGUUUUAAUAUAUAGUAUUACGCUAACAUACUCCCCCUCUCUAUAUAUGUUUCUCAUUCAUGCGAUAACAAAAUAAAUUUACUAUGGCACAUAUUAAUAUUAAGAUCAUAUCAUGCGAGAAUAUUAUGAUAAAUUUAAAAUACACGGAUUAACAAACCCCACAAUUUAGCCACACUCUCCUCAAAUAUAUUGAAUUUCAAUUAUCAUUUUCUUUUGAUUGAAAUGCCUAGAAGCUUUUAAUCCAACUAAAUAAAUAAAAUAAUUGUUUCAAAAUAGUAGAACUUUUAUAAUAGGUUCUGGUGACAAUGUUUGAUCGGAUUUAGUAAAAUUACUUAAAUUCUAUUCCAAAAGGUUCGAGAAACUUCCACUUAAUACAUAAUGGUUCCUAACAUGUAGGAGAACAAUCUCCUAAGCAAAAAAGGGAAAAAAGAAAAGAAAAGAAAAGAAAAAAAAAAACUACGUAUACCUACGUACGUACGUAGCUAUCCAUGCAAGCUACGUACGUACGUUCAUGCAACAAUAUGAUCAAAAGUUCACAACCAUCAUUAAAAGAACAAAAACAGAAACAAAACAAAAAGUUUUAAGUGGAAGAAGAAGAAGAAGAAGGAGAAGGAGAAGAGAAAUAGCUAAUUAACUAAUCCUCGCAAUAAAAUCCAGAGUAAGGCUGGCCGUCGUAGCCGGCGUUACGACAAUCCGUAUCGCAUCUCUUCGCGCACUCCUCCUUGGUGCCGAGUUUGUGCAGCAUGCAGCCGUCCUUGAAGCACGGGCAGAAGCAUUGGUACGGCUUCUCCGCAUUGUCGUCAUCUUCGUCGGAGCCCAUGGAGCUUGUUACAAGCAGGGACAAUAGCAUUAGGGUGAACAAAAGCUUUGUCAUGUUGAGAGCCAUGCUAUUUUACCUUUUCUUUUCUUUUUUUUGUGUGGGGUUGGGGGGGGUGCUUGUGUUAGGAUGUUUAUGUGUGAAGCGAUUUAUUUGAGUGAGGGAGAGAGAGAGAGAGAGAGAGAAUUUAUACGAGUAGGGGAGGAGAGAGGGUGGUAGGGAACAAAUUGCGGGUGAGUUGUGUGAAUUGUGGCUUUUUUUAGAACCAUUAGUUUUGGGAGUGGAGAGGAUUCAAACUCGUUUGUGGAUAAAGAGUGGGAGACCAUGAAAUGAAUUGUGGGGUUUAGAGUUGGAGUUAGACAUAUUAGCUUAAAGAGACCAGUAUUCUAAUUAAUCUGUGGCAGAAGAAAAAGUUAGGUCGAUGCAUGUUCUAAAUGAUAAGAAAUUUGGUUUAGUCGAGUCACAGUCGAAAUCCGUAGGCGUUAUAUCUGUACGCUUUAAGUAAAUUAGUUGUAUCUUUCUAAUAACUCAAGAAUUAAUAAUUAGCGCCAACAAUCCUACGGUUAUAAUUAGAUCGAGAGAUAGAAGAAGCAAAAUAAUGUGACACCAAAAAAAACAAAAACACACAAGUUAAAAGGAUAGAAGCAAAAUAAGUAGAUCAAAGCCUAUGAAACAACGCGCACAAGGCCCAGGGCCAAUACUGGGCUUAAAACAACCAGACAAAUAAGAAAAAGGAAAAAAAAAGCAUUAAAUUUAUCUUAACUAUUGCAUAUUUUUAAAUGGAGAUCUAAACUUCAACUUUAAUUUUAUUUAUUUGACUAUAAUGUGAUUUUGAAAUAUACAGGUGCCUACACUUCGAAAAUUGAUUUGUGACAUUUUGAUGAAAUAUUUCGAAAUCUAGCUCUAAAGUUUGAGCUUAUCUUUUCGUACAUGAGGGUUUAUCUCAGUUAAUGUUCAGAUCGAGCUAUUAUGGUGACACUUCUUAAGCCAUGUUUGGAAAAACAUUAUCUAAACACAUCCACUAUAUAUACAUUUUCUCAAGUCAUGUUUGGAAAAGUACCCUAUAACAUAUUUUUUGGGUAGUAGUUUCAAUUAUAAACUGAAAUUAAAACUAUAUUUAUUAUAAAAUAUGAUAAGAAAUAUUGUUGGACAAAAAAAAAAAAUCUCGCAGGAUGCUUUUAUUAUGGGUGUUCCACUAAUCAUUUUAAAGCAUUAGAGAAGAAAAUCUCAAAAGAGCCUUUACAUUUUGAUAAAAACAUACAAAAUUUAUUGAAACUGUGAACCAUUUUGGUUCUACUAUUUGAACUUUCAGAAAUUUGAUUGUAUUAUUUGAUCUUUCAAUUUAUUUGAUUUGAGUCAAUCAAUGAUAUUUGACUUCAAAUUUUAAGUUAAUUGCUUAUUUUAAUGAAUUUAUAAUUGUGAGAAUNUAAAAUUAUUCAAAGGAUAAAAAAAUAGAAAAUUUAUCUGUACUACCAAUCAUUUUGAGUUUUCCACCUAAUUUUUUCAAAAAAAUUUGAUUUUAUUAUUCGAUCUUUCAAUUUAUUUGAUUUGAGUCAAUCAAUGAUAUUUGACUUCAAAUUUUAAGUUAAUUGCUUAUUUUAAUGAAUUUAUAAUUGUGAGAAUUGUAUGAAAUUUAUAACUUAACCUGUAAAAAUAAAUAAGCAUUUAAUUUUAAAUUUAAAGUGUUAUUGACGGAUUCAAAUCAAAUAAAUUUAAAAGUAGAGUAAUAAAAUUAAACUUUUAAAGAUAGGAUAGUCAAAUCAAAAUAAUUCAUAAUUAAGAUAAACCACAAUUCACACAACUCACCUACAUUUUGUUCUACCUGUAUGUAAUGUAAAACUUAUAUCCACCUAAUAGUUUAAACGUUUUGAUUGGAUUUAAUCUCGUUAACAUGGCACCAGAAACAAAACACAAGCCAAAAUAAAAGAGAAAAAAAAAAAUCAACUAUAUAUAUCCUGGGAAAAGCUUCAAUUUUGAAAUCAACUUAAAAACAACCAAGCUUUGUCACUGAAACAUAAGUUUCUCUUUUCACGAUAAAAAAACAAAAUAAAAUAAAAAGAAAGUUACUUUAGUUCAAGGCAUUACUUUGUACUCAACCAGUUAUAUCUAGAGGGUCUGCAUAUCAAUUAAUACCUUUUAAUUAAACUCUCAUAAAGUUUCUUAAUUAAUAUUAAACGAUAUGAUCAAUUAAAUUAAUUAAUCAAUAUUGGUUUUAAAUUUAUAUGUUGUUCUCCAUACAUGUUUCUUCUAUUUUACAUCCCUACAUCUCUUAGGGGCUGUUUGGUUAUAUGUAAUUAUAAAUACAGUGUAGUUAAAGAUGCAUGCAGUUGGAAAUACAGCAAUUACAACUAUAUGAAUCAUAUUUGGUUGGAUGUAGUAGAAAAUGCUGCAAGUAUAAAUAAUUUAUUUGGUUGCAUGCAGCUGAGAAAUAAUUUUUAAAAUUUUAUUAUUUUAUAUAUAUGAUGGUAAGAUUACCUCCAAUAUAAAAAAGAAAAAUAAUUUUUGUUUAAAAAAUAUUGAGGAGGUAAGUAUACCUUUUAUUUAAAGUUACUCUCUCCAAUUGCUGUACUUGAAAUUGCGGUCAAUUUGGGCGUAGUUCGAACUACUGUAAUUGGGCCUCCUCUGCAGUUCCUACUGUAGCCGUUGGAGUUAAAUAAAUCAAACCAAACAUGAAAUUUGCAUUUACAUGCAGUUACAACUGCAGUACAGUUACAACUACAUGCAACCAAACGGCUCCUUAAUGUAACUUAGCUUAUUAGUCGUGUUUAUCGAUUCAAAUGUUCAUGCAUGCACUAGACAUUUUCUGAUAAUUAGAUUAAACUAAUUAAUCACCUUUUUUUUUUUUUUUCCUUUUCGUCACUUGUUUUUCUCUCGUUUUCCAACGAUUCAAAUGUUCAUGCACUAUAAAUCUCGGGAGAAGAUUACACUAAUUAAUCACAUAUUCACAUGUAUGUUAUGUCCCCCAUGUAUCGCAAGUCUAGUAAUUUCUUUAGCAUAAGUUUUUUUGAUGGGAACAGAUCGAAUUAAUUUACUAGAACUCGAGAUCCAUAGAUUCGUGUCUAUACGCUUUAAGUGAAUCGAUUGUAUAUAUCUUUUUAAUAGCUCGAGCUUGAGAUCCGUAGAUGCUGUAUUUGUAUGCUUUAAGUGAAUUGGUUUUAUUUUUUUUUAAUAGCUCAAUCUUUUUGAAUUUUUAUGGCUAGCGUCAACGAUCCAACAAGUGGUAUCAGAGCCUUCAUGGUUAGCACCAACGAUCCGACAAGCAAUAUUAGAGUCAGAAGUCAUAAAUUCGAUUUUUGUAUGCUGCAAAUUUAUACAAAUAUAGGGGAGAAGGAGAUUGUUGGUUUCAAAGGACCAGCAUUUUGUCAUAUGGCAAGAGGUCAAAUUGGGCUAAAUCAUGUUCGAAGUGGCGAGAGGCUGGUUGGGCUAUAGAGAUUCGAGAGCACGGUAUCUAUAUACAUCAUAAUUGAAACGUUGUACGCUUUAAUUGAAUAGUUGUAUCUUUCUAACAGUUUGAUCUUUUGGAAUUAAUGGUUAACACCAACGAUACGACAACUACCGUUACAGAUUAUUAAUAUACCGACUGUUAUAAUGUAAAAAAUUUUAAUUGGCCUAUGUGUGCAGUCAAAAGAGUCUCACAAAUUUGUGAACAUAUUUUUGUGUAUAGAACGACCGACUAGACGUACGCGUGAAGCCCAACUCAUUUUUCCUAAAAAUUUAAUGCAUGAUUCAACAUAUAGUGAGAUAACUUACUUGAGUGGAGUGAGCAAUGAUUUAAAACCAAGACCAAAUCAGACAGUUAAACUGCUCUUAUCAUGAUCCAAUCUAUAAAGCGGUUCAAUUCAACUUUUUUGAAUCGAGGUAGCUCAAAUAAUCGCGUUGAACUAUUUGAACAAGCAGUUCAAUAAACAAAUAGAUGAGCCGGUCCUGUUCUAAUCAAAUCAGAUUUUUUUUUUUAACCAAGUUAAUGUCCAACGGCUUAAAAUCGACUUAGCUGAUUUUAUUUUUUAUUAGCACAUAUUAGCCUUGUAAAAAGUAGAAUUUAAAAACUAAUAUCUACUUAAUUUAGUUUAGAAAUCAAUGUUUUCUAAUUAAAUAUGAUACAAAAGUAAUAAUAUAUAAAUUUAUUUAUAUAAUAUAAUUAAAAAUAAUAAUUAAAUACUUAUGACGUCAUACUGAUGUCACUGGUUCAACCAGUGAUUGUGGUUAAACCACUGGUUGAACCGGUGAUCAUCGACAUAGUAAUAUUUUUGGGUCGCUGUUUGAUUCUAUUUUUAAAACACUGAUAGCAAGUUUCUUGAUCAACUUAUCUAUUGUAGCCUUCCAGUGAAUCGAAAGCAUUGGGAGUCACAACCAAUAACAAAUAGAUACAUAAAUGAAUAAAAAAUAAUGAUAAUAUUUUAAAUACUCUUUUACCAGCCAUUAAUUUUUGGUUAAACUUCAAAUACCUCUGUAUGGUUUCACACUUUCUCACUUUAGUACUCUGUGAUUUAAAGUGUAUCAAAUUAGCCCCUGUGGUUUUGCACUUUCUCAUUUUAGUACCCUAUGGUUUAAAGUAUAUCAAGUUAUUACCAUAUGAUUUUUUUUCUUUUUAUUAUUCAUUUCACUAAUUUUUUUCGCUAAAUCAGUGACAAAGUUAAAAUUAAAGGAUACAAAAGUGAAUAUUUGAUAAACCUAGGUAGAGUAUCUGAAGUUUUUUGUAUAUAAUUUAACGAAAUAUUAACGGAGGAAAAAAAUCAGUGACAAAAUUAAAACUAAAGGGUACCAAAAUAAAUAUUCGAUAAACCUAGGUAGCGUAUCCGAAAUUUUUUGUAUAUAAUUUAACGAAAUAUUAACAGAGGAGCCGAUGAAAAGAGAAAAAUGAAACCACAUGGUACUAAAUUGAUGCAUUUUAAAUGAGAGGGUACUAAAGUAAGAAAGUGCGAAACCACGGGGUACUAAAUUGAUAUACUUUAAAUCAUAUGGCACUAAAGUGAAAAAAUGCAAAACCACGGGGGUGGUAUUUGAAGUUUUUCCUUAAUUUUUAUAAAAAAUUGCAUAAUUUAAUAGAUUAGUUUAAAAUUCUUUUUUUUUUAACUCUAAUAAGUUAAAGGCUUAUAGUAAACUUAUCAUUGGAAAAGUAUUUUUUGUAAGUUAUCAAAUUUUCUAAAGAAAAAAAAUUAAUCAACUAAAAUAAUAUAUCUUACACAUUAUACAGAAUUAACAAAUCAUGCCAUAAGCUAUAAAAUUAAAAGCUAUAUUCAAAAAAAAAAAAACGAUUAAUAUUUUGCCUUACAACUACAAGAUAUAGCUUAGGGUAAAUUCAUCAUUUUAUUAAUUUAACUAGUGUUUAACUCUCUUUUAAUUUAUAUGCUUAGAAUAUAUAUAUUUAAAAUUUUGAAGGGAUAUUUGUAAAAUUUCAAAACUAUACAAGGAUAUUUUUCGAAUUACUCCCUAAAAAAUAUAACAUAAAUUUUUGAAUCCACUUUUGUAAAUUUCCAACCUUUUUUUUAUAGAAUUCGAAUUUCGUUAUAGUAAAAUCAUUUAACUUCCUGGGCUUCUAACACUAGUAUGAUGUUUCGUUUUUCGAAAAAUAUUUUGAAAAAUUAGUUUCUGGCUAGAAAAGUAUUUUUUUGAUUCAUUUGGUUUCUCUAAAAAAAACAAAUUUCAUAAAAAAAAUUGUAACUUCUUUUUUCAAUUUUUUUAAACAAUCAAAUUUGAAAUAUAUAUAUAUAUAUAUAUAUAUAUAUAUAUAUAUAUAUAUAUACUAUAUUAUAAUAUACUAGGCUACUAUACAUAUCUAUAGUACGAGCUCCGGUACUAUAGUUGUUGGUUUUCAAUCUUAGAGCGUUCAAAUCAACGAUCCACACCGUUAAAACUGAUCUAGGGUAUUUAAAGUUUCUAGAAAUAAAAUUUUAUAUUUUUUGGAUUAUAGUUUAUUUUAUGAUCAACUAUUUCAAAAUUAAUCAUUCAAUGGCUAUUAUGACGAGUUUCGAGUUUAACGGUGUAGAAGAAUCUAAAUUUCUUCAAAUUUUGAUAGAAAAUACUUUAAACUAUAUAGAUUAAGGUUAACAUUCUUGAUCUUGAAUUUAAAAGUGUCAUGCUCAAAUUUUAAAGAUUAUUCAAUUUCCACCGUCCAUUUUGAUAUAAUUUAUUUACUAAGUAAACGAUAUAAAAAAAAACUAAAAUUUUAUUCCUAAGAAAUUCAUAUACCCUAAAUCAUAUUUAACGGUGUGGAUCGUUGAUUUGAACGCCCUAAGAUCGAAAAUAAACACUAUAGUACCAGAGCUUGGUACUAUAGAUAGUAUAGUAGCCUAAUUAUAUAUAUAUUUUACCUCUUAAACCCUUUUUCCACUAAUAUAUUCAUUUAAAAUUACAAUUUGUGUAGCUAGUGGUUUAGUCCACUAAAGACAAAGUGUAGAUAUUAUCGCAUUAUUAUUAUUAUUAUUAUUAUUAUUAUUAUUAUUAUUAUUAUUAUUCAAUUGAUUUUGGAAUGAUUAGUAGUAGUGGGUGUCGCUCUCACGCCCAUGCUGGGUAACCACCAACAAAUCUCCUCCGUCUAAUUCGAUCCUACUUUUAUUAAUUAAAGCCUAAAUUACACAAAACACCCUAUAAAUAUUUUUUUUAAUUUUUUCUUUUUCAUCGACUGUCCCUAUAACAAGUGACAAAGGGUUUAGUGAUUGAUACUCGAGUUUCAAGAUCGAAUCCUAAUUGAUUCACAUUUUUAGCUAAGUUUAUUUCUAAAUAAAAUAAACGAAGCGGAUAACUUCCUAUCUAUCUCUUAAAAAAAAAAUUCCGCUUUGAUUUUUAAAAAAUCUAUAUUUUAUCUCUCAAAAUUUGAAGUUGUUGUAUUUAUUCCCUUCAGUAGGGUUUUCGUCGCUAAUCCGUCUAUUUCUUAUAAUUUAUAAUAAAAAUAAUUUUGAAACUAAUAUAAAUAUGCUAAAAAUUAAUUUUCACCUUCUCCAUUAAGGUCGCAACUUUAUAAAAAUAUUUUUAAAAUUUUAAAGGGAAAACAUAUAAGUUUUUAAAAAUUAGAAGAGAAAAAUAAAAAAAAUAAAUAUUUAAAUUUUAUUUAUUUUUAUUUUUAUUUUUAAAAUUUUAAAGGGAAAACAUAUAAGUUUUUAAAAAUUAGAAGAGAAAAAUAAAAAAAAUAAAUAUUUACAAUAAAGUUUUUUGUAUUUUAGCCUUUAUCAUAUUCUCGUGCAUCUCUCUUUUGUGUAAAAAAUAAAAAUAAAAAUAAAUAAAAUUUAUGUGAAUUAUGAACUAAUUUGAAUCAGCUACUCAAUCAUUCAAAAUUUUAAUUUUGCUAUUUACUAUUUUUUUUAUUUAAGUCGGUCACAAUUUAUAGUUGUAAUAAUUGUAUGAUAUAUACUAAAUGAAUAUGUAAAAAUAAACAACGCAGUUAAACUUUAAAGUCAAAAUAUUAUUAACCAAUUCAAACCAAACAAAUUGAAAAGUUUGACAGUAAAAUUAAAAUGAUCCAUAAUCCAGAUAAAUUUCGUACUCCUAAUAGCACACAAGUCUCAUUAUAAUAUUAUUUUUCUAAUUAAUCUUAUAAUUAUUAAUUAUUAAUAUUGUACUAAUAAAAUUAUUUGAUGCACUAAAGUGGGUGUAUAAAUCACCCAAAAGUUUUUUCUUAUUAUAUACCUAUCGACACACCACAAAGUACUAUUUACAUUAUUGCUAAAUUAUAAAAAAUUUCUUUAUAAAUAUUCAUUUUUUCAUUUUUUUUUCUAACUUUGAAAAAUCUAUAUUUUUUAAAAACAAUUUUAGAAAUACUUUCAAGAAGAUACGGCGUUAAUGAAAAGGACAAAUGAUCAAAUAACACUUAUUUUUUCUAUAAGAAAAAAUAUAAUUUUUAAAUUAUAUUUAUGUAAUUUUGAUGGACAUUUUUUAUAUAAAUUAUAAGAAAUCGAUAAAAUAGUGAUAAAAUUCUCACAGAAGGGAGUUAAAUAUAAUAACUUGAAAUAUUUAAAGGUAAAAUAUAGAUUUUUAAAAAUUAGAAAAAAAAAAAGAAAUUACCUUUAACCCUAAAGUAUUAAAACUGGUAUGAUGCCCUAGUCUCCUCAUUAAUAUGUUACUCUGAUCUCCACUCUACUAAUUAAUAAAAUCACGUUGCUCGAGAAUAGAUAUUAUAAUUUUAGGCCUAAAACCUAUUACUAAUUACUAAUAAUAGAAGGACAUGCUAUAUAUAUAUAUAUAUAUAAUUGUAGAGUAAUUAAUUAAUGGUGCUUAAACGGCGUUUUUGUCUCACAUUAGUUGCUAGUUAGAGCCGGGUCCUCGGAACUCAAAAAAUAUGGCUACAAACUACAAAUCACGUAAUGAUUAUUAUUAUUAAUGAUAAUACAUUUGAUUUUAUUAUUGAUAAAAUAGAUAUAAUAUUAUUUAUUAAGUCCGGAAAUCUUUGAGAAUAAUAAAGCUGACUCUGCUAGUAUCUUUGUUAAUAUUGUUUUUCUGCGUUCAAUGAAAAAAAAAAAAGAGAGUUAUUUCACUCGAGAUUCUGCUUGAAUAUAUAUUAUAUAAAGGCUAAAUUAUAUAAAAUUUUUUGUUAAAAUUUGAUUUUUUCACCUUUUUUUUUUCCUGUCAUUUAAAAAUUUACACUUUGCCUCAUUAUAAAAUAAAAAAUAUUCACAAAGGAUACGGUGUAUACUGUAAUGAUAAAAUAACCAUUUUGUCCUCACCAUUUUCAUCUCCUCUCUCACCUUUCUCAACAGUAGCCUCGAUCGACCGCGAUUCACGCCUCAAUCGGCUGCGGUUUCUUUUCAUCUUUUUCUCCACCUACUCCCCUUUCCUCCUGCACCCUCGCCGCCCCUCGAUUUCGGCGACAGUAAGAUGGAAAUCAAUGUGGGGGUGGAUGGAGAGGUGGGUAAUGACAACGAGGGCGAAGGCGAGGCGGCGGAGGAGGGCGAAGGGUGUUUGUAGGCGCGGACAGGGAUGUGGGCGAUGGCGAGGCGGCGAGGCGGAGGAAGGUGAAGCAACAGGGAAGAGGGUGGAGGGGUAUUUUUGGUAUAAAAAAAUCUUUUAUAACGGAAUCCUAACGGAUUAUUAACGGUAGGAGGCAAAGUGCACAUUUUUUAUUUUACAAGGAGGCAAAGUGUAGGUUUUUAAAUGACAGGAGGAAAAAGUGAAAAAUCACAUUUUGACAUGAAGGUUUUCUGUAAUUUAGCCUUAUAUAAAUAAAGGGUUAAUUGCAUACAAAUCCUCGCAAACAUAAUCAGUUAUAAAUAUAUCUUUGCAAAAUUCAACUUUUAUAAGUUAUUCCUACAAAAGUCGUAAUGUUUUUAGAUAUAUUCAUCUGAUUUGUUAACAUUAGAGAACUGUUAGAAAACUGUUUAUAUUUUUAAUUUUGUACUCACAAAUAUGUCAUUUCAAAAGCUAUAAUAGUAUAAUAUAAGAGGAAUAAAAAUGUCAAAAAUAAUCACAAUAAAGUAUUUAACUUAUAGUUAACUAAACUUUUCUAACGAAUUCUAACGGAAUGGACAUAUGUAAAAAUAUUAGGACUUUUACAGGAAUAAUUUAAAAGAUAAUGGCUGAUCAUUAUUUUGCACAUAACAUUAUCGUCUUUCUUAGAGCUUGAUUCAUACAAAUUAACUAUAACACUACCUCAAUACAAUAUCAUCUUUCUAUUAUCGUGGUAACUUUUACGUUUUAGCGCCACAUAUACUGUAAUAUUUUACAGAGAUGAUACAAAUUACUUAUCAAUAGUCGGAUGUAUUAAAAUAGUUAUAAAGACCGGAAAAAAAAAAAAAAAAGAAAAGAAAAGAAAAGAAUAGUGGGAUGCAGGGCUGCAGUACAACUGUAGCUUUCUGGAAUUCGUGCAAAAUCAUGCAGACAAAAUGGUCAUGGAUGGUACACAUUUGUCAGCAGAUAAGUAGAGAAUGAGAUAGUAACCAAAGUAAGAUACAUUUGUUUUGAAAAUCGAAAAGGUGUGCAUAGUCUCAUUUGCUUUUGAGUCUUUUUACGGAUUGCUACAAUAAACUUUCUCCUGUUUCUACAUGGUCCUCUUGGUCAAAGCUUCUCGAUCAACGUAUCCUUUCUCAUGCACAAAAUUAUAAUUUUAUAUAAUAUACAAGAUUAUUUAAUAUUAGUAAUUUAAAAUUUUGCCAUCUCAUUCAAUAAUAUUUUUGAAGUAACUUCAAUUUUACUAUUUGUAAUGCUAUAUUACCGACCAGAUUGCAGGCUGAAUGAAUAAAAUAGAAUAAUUCUAAUAGGAUUGUCCAUAAUCCUAACAGGAUAAUCCGAACCAGAUGCGCCUUUCAUGUAACUCUUGUAUAUAAAGGCCUAUUUUGCAUAGUGGGGCUUGUAAGUAUUUGUUUUUAUACUUUGAACGCCUAAAAAUUUUUUACUAUUUUUACAACCUACAUUGUAAAAAUUAAAACAUGCAGAACUUAUAAAAAGUUUGGACCAUUUUGAAUUAGCCAUCAAAUCUUUCAAAAUUUUAAUUUUAUUAAUCAACCCAUUAAUUUGUUUGAUUUGAGUUAGUUAAUGGUACGUCGUUUAUCAUAUAGUUCCACAGCUGUGAAUUUAUAGAAGUAAAUAACUAGCUUCAAUUUUGAAGUCAAAAUACUAUUGAUUGACUCAAAUCAAGCAAAUUAAAAGAUUAGAUAGAUCGGUUGUCCCUAGAGCAAGUGGCAAAGGGCUUGGUGGUUGGUACUGUUAGGAUUUGGUAAGAUUUGUUGUUAAAUCCUAAUUAGAUAAGAAUUAAUAUUUAAAUCUAUUGAAGAUAAAUUAAGAUUUAAAUAUUAAUUAGAGUAUAAAUCUAACUAGAUUAGGAUAAAUAUUUAAAUCUAUUGGAGAUAAACUAAAUAUAGAUUUAAAUAUUUAUCGAAAUAGGAAUCCUAAUUAUACUAGGAUUUGGUUAGCUUUUGAUGUAAGCUAUAAAUAUAGCAUAUGUGCUACUAUUUUGAUGGUGGUAUGGAUUAACCACACCCAUAUGGCAUGACCAAGAUGGUCAUGAUUUUGGAUGCACCUAGUGUACGGGUGCGUCCAUAAGUGAGUAGUCUUUUAGAUUAAUAGAAGACGAGAGAAGGGUAGAAGAUCGAGAUUCAGAAAGAGGGUUCGGAUUGUAGCUACUCUGUAUAGAAGAGGAGUCAGGUGUAAUAUUCUCUUAUUUAAUGAAUCUUAUUUUACCCGCAUAUUUUUUUUCUUUUAUAAGUGAAUAAGCUUCUGCUGAGGAGACGGGUUUAUGGUAAAAAUUCGAUUCGACGCUUCCGUUGCGGAAUCCCAACAAUCGGUACCGAAUCCACAGCAGUCGGUAUCGGAGUGGAUUGCGGAUUCACAAGAUUUGGUACCGGGGGGAGUACCGGAUUCCCAACAGGUACCCGAGAUCCUAAGUUCGAAUCCUAGUUGAUUCACAUUUUCUAACUAAAUUUAUUUCUAAAUGAAAUAAACGAAGCGGGUAGCGUGCUAUCUUUCUCUUAAAAAAAAAAAAAAAGAAGAAAGAUUAAAUAGUAAAAUCAAAAUUUUGAAAGAUUGCAAAGCUCAAUUAAAAUAGUUCAUAAUUCAGAUAAGUUAUAUAUAUUUUUACCUACUAUAACACUGAUUGAAACCAACGGUAACAAAAAGUAUAUUACUUCUAAUACUUUUGAAAACACAAUUCCAAUCUAAACUUAAACUCUACUAUGUUUUUUUUUUCCAUAAAUACUUAUAAAGUUUGAUUACCUGAUUAUAUGUUUCAAUUUGGAAAGCGAAAAACAUAAUUUUUUGCUUUCUUCUGUUUAUCGAUAUGGUUUUGGAACUGUCAUCAGUAUCUCUUCUAUAUUUUCUUGUUAUAUAAAACUGUGCUGCAAUUUCUUUCUAAAACUAUCUCUUACUAUAAUCAAUCAAGCUCUACUUUUCUACAAACCUCUACAUUCAAAAAAUAGAAAAGAAUAAAAAAUAACAUAUCAGGUGCUUCUUCUCCUUAAAAAAAUAAGUGAGCGGAAAGAACCACCAAAAAAAAAAAAAAAAAAGGCUAAAUUACAUAAAAUUUUUCCGUCAAAAUUCGAUUUUUUACUUUCUUCUCCUGUCGUUUAAAAAUCUAUAUUUUUUUCUCUUGUAAAAUAAAAAAUAGUCACAAGGGAUACAGUGUAAACUGUGAUGACAAAAUGACUAUUUUGCCCCUCACCAUUUUUGACAACAGGAAAAAAGACUGAGAGCAUCUUUUGUAUAAAAAAUAUAUAAUAAUAUUUUAUAAACAGAAUUUCAACAGAUCACUAGCGGUAGGGAGUGAAGUGAACAUUUUUUAUUUUAAAAAAUGACAAAGUGUAGAUUUUUAAAUGAUAUGAAAAAAAUAAAAAAAAUCAAAUUUUGAGAGCGCUAUAAUUUAGCUAUAAAAAAAAAAAAGAAAAAAAGAAAAAAAAGAGGGGCGGCCACGCGAAUUAGAAAAACUGGAAAGGGAAAAGGAGGUGCAGGAAGCAGCUGCAGGUGCAGGCGUUUUUCAAUGCUUUUUACGACUCUGGAAAAACUGAGGGAAGAAAAAGCAGCAGCUUUUCUGAUUCCGUGGAAUCAUUCACUUCCUUGUCUCCUUCUCAAGAGGAAACAAGAGGUGGCCCUUGUAUAAAUUCGACCAUGCUAAAUUAGCGUUUAGAGUUUAUAGAAAGACGUGACAUAAUUAAAGUGGGCCAAAAAUUCUGUUGAAUUUAAUAAUUUACACAGCUGUUGUAAAAAAAAAUAAUAAUAAAAUUAAAAUGGUUAUAAUUUUUUGUUUGAGUAUCUAUUUUCAGCACGCAACUCCAAUUCGAAAAAUAAUUUUUGAGAUCUAUGCGUCGUACCAUAAAAUCGUUUUAUUCGAGUUUGGAACUCCAAUUCUUCAACUGUCUAUGCCUCUGUUUUUAUAUUUUUUAAAUUAUUUUUGAAAAACUUUGUAUUUUUUUAAGUAUGAUUAUUCAAUUAUUUUUGACCGAUUUUAAUUCAAAACUAUAUUAGAAUUUAUUAUGUUUUGUUAUAGUAAGAUUCAAAUAUUAUGACGUUCGGUUAAUAUAAUUACUUUUUUAAAUUGAUUAAUAAUAUAUUUUUUCUUUUUUAGAAGAAUUGUCUACUUACGCAUAUUUUAUAUUUCUUUCUUUUUUGCCUUUGUGCUUCUUCUCUCACAACGCGGUUACUUGUGUCCAAACGUUACAUGAUAAAUAAAAGGUAAAAAGGUAUAGAACUAGCCUAAGUGUUGGCCUAUUUUGACUUCACUAUGGUAUGUUUUAAAAUUUUUGAUUUUAUUUUUGAACCUUUCAACUAAUUUAAUUUGAAUCAAUCAAUGAUAUCCAACUUUAAAAUUUAAAUAACUAUUUACUUUUAUAAAUUUAUAGUUGCGACUUCCCACUUCCGAAAUAACCAUAAAGUCAUGAAAUAUUAACUUAUUCUAAGAUAAACAAUAUAUUUAAAUUUUAAAAUGUAAAGUUAAAAUAUCAUUAACUUAGUUAAUCAAAUAAAUUUAAAAUUAAUUAGUAAAAUCAAAAAUUAAUUUAAUAAAAUCGCCGCUUUAUAUCUAGUGAAAGAGACUUGAGUUUAACGCGAACAAAAAAAACAAGGACAAAAUUUAAAUAUUGGAUUGAGGAAUUUCACUUCAUUUUUUCAGAAAAUAAUCACAUAGUUCCUGAUAAAAGGUACGGUACGUACGAAGAUAAUAAUGUAGCGAAACAUACGGGCGCGUUAAAACAAAGCACCUUCUACAAGUCAUAUAGUAAAAAAAAAAGUUCCGUUUCUGCGAAAAUCGAACGGUGGAGAUCAAACGCGCUCUCCCUUCUCCUUCUCCGAUCUACCGUCGCCAGGAUCGCUCAUGCACCGAGCAAACGGCGAUUCCGACCCUGCAAAGAGGAAUUUCAAAUUUCAAAUUUUAAAAUUUUUUUUAAAAAAAAACAACUACGGAUAAUAAUUGCAUAAAACUUGAUUUCCUAUAUUGUGCAUUUAUAUUUGUAAGUUUUAAAAUUUACAAAAUUAUUUAUAAUAUAUUUUAUUAAAGUUUGGUGCGCAUAAUUUUUAAUAUUCUUUUUUUUAUAGUAAAAUAUUUUGUAAAUGUUUUAUAUGGGUCUAACCAUUUUCUGUGUCACUGUGUGUGCGCGAGUGGAAAAAAAUUCCAAAUGAAGUAGAAAAAUUAAGGAUAAAUUUUAAAUACCACCUUCGUGAUUUCAUACUUUCUCACUUUACUAUCACGUGAUAUAAAAUAUAUCAAGUUAAUAUCAUGUUGGUUACUGUUAUCUUUUCGUUAGCUUUUUCGUUAAUAUUUUGUUAAAUUAUAUACAAAAUAAAACUUCAGAUAUCGAUCUAGGUAUCUAGAUUUAUCGAAUAUUAACUUUAGUAUCUUUUAGUUUUAACUUUGUUAUCAAUUUAACAAAAAAAAUAGUAAAAUUAAUAAUAAAAAAAAUAAUAUGGCACUAAAUUAAUAUAUUUUAAAUUACAGAACACUAAAGAAAAAAAAGUGUGAAAUGCAAUGAGUAGUAUUUUGAAGUUUUUCAAAAUAUUAACCCAGUUAUCCGAACAAAACAUUGUAUAAAGACAUGUACAGUGCACGAAUUGUAAAGCAGCGGACGGGUAUACAACACAAGUUAGGGGUGCGGGGGGUACCUUGGGCGGUGUGGAAGGAACGCUUGCAGUGGGCGAUGGCGCUCUGGAUCCCGUCCUCCUGCUGGAGCAGCGAGUCGUCCCUCCGCCGCGGCGACGGCACCGCGGCCACCGCGGCCGACGCCGACCGGCUCUUCCCGAGCCUUCUCCGCACCACCUUCAACCCCGGAAUGCUCGCCCUCGGCGCCCUCACCCCGCACGACGCCACCGCCGCCGCCGCCGCCGUAGGUGGCGGCGGAGACGCCUCCUCCGCCGCCUCGGCCUCAGCCUCCGCCUCCGCCUCCGCCUCCGCCUCCGCCUCCGCCGCGUCUUUCUCCUCCCCUUGGUUCGCCGCGGCGGCGGGGCUCGGCGCCUCGGAGAACCCUAGCUUCUCCCCGUACCUCUUCGAAACCCUGACGUACAGGGGCUUGAUCUUGCUGAGGUACUUGUGCACCACCUCCCUCGCGAACCUCCUCUCCUCCUCCUCCUCCGCCGCCGCCGUCGCCGCGGUGGUCCUGGAGCUGUUGUCCCGCGUGAAGAGGGAGACGAUCGGGGACUCCUCGACCUUGAGCUUGACGAGGAGCUUGCUCCGCCCCUGCGGCGGAGGAAGACGCGGAGCUUCGCGGCGGGCUUGAGGAGGGCGACGGGGAGGUGAGGAGGGGUCUCGGGAUCGGCGUCGGCGAUCGUCGAGGGGUCCAGGGUUAGAAGCUUACCUUUAAAGAAUAGAUCGUCGGAGGGCGAAAGAGGCUCCGCUCGGAACCCCUCGCGGGCGAAGUCGAACUCCCCCUCAUCCUCCUCCGCCUCCGCCGCCGCAGCCGCCGCCUCCUUCUCUUCCUGUUCCUCCUCCUCCUCGCCAUUGGCGCCGUCCUCGGGGACGGCGAACUCGAGGUCGAAGAAGGGGCCCUCGUCAUCACCACCGCCGUCGUCGUCGUCGUCGUCGUCGGCGCCGGCGCCGGGGCGGAGCACGGAGGUGGCGAUGGUGGUGGUGGCGGCGGCUGCUGCGGCGGCGGCAAUGGCGGCUCCGCCGCCUCCGCGCAAGUACUUGAGGAGGCUAAGGGAUUCCAUGGUGGGGAUAGCCACAAAGGUUAGCCCUACUCUCUCUCUCUCUCUCUCUCUCUCUCUCUAUUUGCUUGAAAUAUUUAGAAGAUGAAGGGUAUUUUGGUUAAGAAGGGGAAAGAGCGGGAAGGGGGAGGAGGAGUGGGGGCAGUAGGUGCGAGAGGCGUGUGAUAGCAGCAGGCGUCGUCAGUGGUCAGCAGAUUGUUUGGUCGAUGGUUAUAACUUUUUCACAGGACUCGACAGCCAGAGAGAGAGAGAGAGAGAGAGAGAGAGAGAGAGAGAAAGGUGAAUUUAAUACAAUUUCUUCUUGGCGUCCGAAUCAGCAGCAGUUCUCUACAACCUACACAGUGUAGCGAAUAGAAAAGUUUAUCCAACACUCGAACACUUCACCACAGGUUAAUUCUACAAUGAACUUUUUUUAACCGAACGGCCACUGGUAGGGUAGUGUUUGAAGUUUGAACUAACGUUUCUUUUUAAGCUCAAGAUUAUUUUUAAAUUCAGUAUAGUGUUCAGUAUAGUGUUUAGAAACGAACAGAUGAAAAUUUUGAUUUUAUUUUUUAAAAUAAAAAAAUUAAUUUUGAAAGCUAUAGAAUCAGAAGUAGAAAAAAAAUUAUUUUUCUAAAACUAAUUCUGAUUUUGAACUCAAACUUUAUUUUUUUAUUUUUAUUUUAGAUUCAAAGUAUAAAUUUAACAUUAAAUUUAAAUUUUGCAAUUUUAAAUUCAUAUUUGAAUUUUUAAAUCUCAACUUAUCAAAUUUAAAAUUUAUAUUUUAAAUUUUAAAUUUUAAAUUUAAGUUUCAAAUCUCAAAAAUUAAAUUUACAUUUUUAAAAUUCAAAAUUUUAAAAUUUAAAUUUUAAAUUUAAGAUAAAAUUUAAAUUUUGACAUUUUGGAUUUUAAAACUUUAAAAUUUAAAAUUUAAAAUUACAUGUUUUAAUUUUCAAAUUACAAAAUUCUAAUUUUAAAAAUUAAUUUUAAAUUUUAAAAUUCAAAAUUUUAAAUUUUAAAAUUCAAAAUUUUAAAUUUUAAAUUUCAAUUUUAAAUUUUAAAUUUUAAAAUUUAAUUUUACUUUUAAAUUUUGAAAUUCAAAAUUUUACUUUUAAGUUUCAAAAUUCAAAAUUUUACUUUUAAAUUUCAAAUUUCAAAAUUUUACUUUUAAAUUUUAAAUUUUAAAUUUUAAAAUAAAAUAUUAUAUUUUAAAUUCAAAAUUUAAAUUCAUAUUGAAAAAUUAAAAAUUUAAAUUUAGAUUUAAAAAUUCAAAUUUAAAAUUUAAAAUUUUAAAAUUUUAAAAUUAUUUUUUGUAUAAAUUAAAUUAUUUUAAAAUAAAAUUUAGUAAAAAUAUUAAUAUAUCCAAGCAUCAGAAAUUUUUUGCCAAACAGCUUUAGAAAAUUACUUCAAAAAAAUUAUUUUUAUCUAAAAUCAGCCAACCGCUUUACAACUUUUCACCAAAAUUAAUUCUCCAAACCAAAAUCACUUCUGCAGAAAUUACUCUUCGAGAAGCUAGGCCAAACAGGUACUUAAUUUGAGACAGAAAUUGUAAGGUAUAAGCAAACUAAAUUUAUUAAUCCUAUAAUAUAGUCUUUUGGAUGCCGGCUAGGACUAAAAAGUUAAAAAAAAUUAAGUGUGUUAGAACAUAGUAGUUCUAGAAUUAGUGACCUCUCGAAAAGCGGAGGGUCAAAUAAUAAAUUUACUUGGGGCCUUGUUAAGGAUUUGGGCCUAUUGAGGGCAUGAAAAGAAACCGGAUUCGGAGCCUAUUGAGCUCCUAAUUGGACGAGGUUUUAAAGUUGGGCCAAGUUAAAUAAGAUUGGGCCCAAUUUUGAUUAACACAUUUUGAAUGCAGCUCGAAAUACAGGCCCGGACCAAAUAGGCCCAUACAAAAUAUUUGGUCCGCAAUUGGCAACGAUUAGGAUCUAUUUGGUAUUUUUUUUGAGAGAUAGGUAGCAUGCUACCCGCUUCGUUUAUUUAAUUUAGAAAUAAACUUAGCUGAAAAUGAGAAUCAACUAGAAUUCGAAUUUGAAAUCUCGAGUACCAACCACCAAGCCUUUUGCCACUUGCGCUAAAGGCGGUCAGUGCCUAUUUGGUAUUGACAGCCUCCAAUAAUUUCUUUAUUUUGUUAGUGAUGAAUUAUAUGUAAAAUAACCACAAUAAUUUUUUAUCAUUAUUUUUUAUUGCACGCAAAACAACUAUAUAUACAUAUAUAUAUAUAUAUAAAAAAAAACUAGCGUAUCAGUGACUAUAGCGGGGGCUGUAACAAUUUUGACUGAAAAAUUUUAACCAAGAAGCUACUAUAUAAUAUGAAUAAGUUCAACUCAUCAACCAACCAAGCUAAAAUUUACAUAUAUAGAAAAUUAACCUUUUCUUUUCUCACACUUAUUGUUAAAAUGUAUGUAGAAAAUUUGCCCGUUUUGAUCUAACUAUUCAAUCUUUUUAAAUUUUGAUUUUAACCCUCAACCUUUUAACUUAUUUAAUUUAAGUAAUUUAAUGACUCUUCAAAUACAAAAUUUAAGUUAAUUAUUUAUUUUAAUCAAUUUAUAGUUGCGUAAAUUGCAUAAAAUAUAAAAAUAAGAGACUCAAAUUAAAUAAAUUAGAAAGGCUAAAUAGCAAAAAUAAAAAAUGUUAAAAGUUGAAUAGUCAAAUUUAAAAGAAUAAUAAUUGAGAUAAGCAGUGUACAUUUUUAUCCAACAAUAUCUCUCUUGUUUGUGAGAGAACAACUUCUAGAUUUUGACAACUAUAUAGUUGAAUAUAAAUAGAUUAUAAUUUUAAAAUUAAAAGUAUUGCUUACGAACGAAGGGAAAUUUUAAAAUUAAAAGUAUUGCUUACGAACGAAGGGAAUGUGACAACAUGCGUGUUGCAUAUUUUAGGAAAAUUCCAUGAGCAAAACGGUGAACGUGGAAGCGUCGUGUAUAUAAAACCAAAUGGAGUGUUCGAUUUUUCUCUGUUUAUGUUUUUUUUUUUUCCUUUUUUUUCUUUUUUGGAAUUAUUUUUAUGCGUUACCAAACUUAACCUACUCAAUCUUAAUAACUUCGGGACAGGUGUAACCCUCCAGCUUACGUGUGGGACCCACCGGUGACGUGCAGCUUCGUUGCUGUGCCACGUGGGAUCGUAAAUCCCGCGCUUUUGCCUCGAGAAACUAUUGCCCUGCACCAGGUAUACGCAUAUAUACUCUAUGCACCGUUCUUCAUUUUUUUUUGACCACCUAAUGAGGCAAUAUAUAUAUGGGUUAAUUUCGUACAAAUUUUUGUAAAUAUAACAAAUAAUAAAUAUAUUCUUAUAAAAUUUAAUUUUUAUAUAUUGUUUCUGUAGAAGUUCUAAUAUUUUCUAAUACGUCCCUCUAGUUUGUUGCCGUUAGAUAAUUAUUAGAGAACCGUUUAUAUUUUCAAUUUUAUCAUCACAAAUAUUUAUCCCUUCAAAAAUCAUAACAGUAUAAUAUAAGCGGAAUAAAAAUGUGAAAAACUAAUUAAGAUUAAGUAUUUAACCUACAGUUAACUAAAGUUUUCUAACGGUAUAGGAAUAUACUUGUUAUUCACUAUGUUUACAGGAACCUAUAUGAAAUUAACCUAUAUAUAUAAUUUAUAAUAUCUAAAGAAUCUAUAUAUUAAAAAUCAUGUAUUUUAAAUUAGAAUUUAUAAUUUUCAUAUAUUGCAUUUUUGAAAAUAUUAUUUAGAUGUCAGAAUAAGUAAUGCAAUAUUGAGACUCGUUUCAUGUCGUUUUUAUUUUUUAAAAUACUAAUUUUAUAUAAUUUAAUAUGGUUGAGAAAAGACCUUUCUUUUACCGAAAGGUAAGAAGUUCAGAAUAAAGUAAAUUUGCAGAUGAAUUAGAAUUCAACUAAAAAUUAUUUUUUUUAUUUUUUUUCUUUUCAUAAUUAACUUAAGUAUUUUGGAGGCUUGAGUUUCGUUUGAAGGUAAAGUUAUAAUAAACUAAAUAAUAAAAAUGAGUAAAUAAAAAUAAGUAUUUAUAAUAAAAUUAUGAGUACAUUCACGUAUUCUAGGAUGAGAUGAAUUUUACUAUUUACACCGACAUGACUAAGUGAAAUUAUUAUAUUUAUUUUAAUUUUAAUAAAAGACACCUAAAUUUUAGGUUUACGUGUCCAAGCAGAAUCUGGAAUGCGGAGAAAAUAAUUUCUCUUCCGGUUGAAAACCGCACAAAAGCAACGGGAGAUUGGGCAUUAAGAAAUGGCAAACGAGAGAAAAAGAAAAAAAUAAAAUAAACUUCAUAUACCACUCAUGUAGUUUCAUAUUUUUUCACUUUAAUAGCAUGUGAUUUAAAGUACAUUAAGUUAGUAUUCUAAAUUUCAUUUUUAUCUUUUUGUCAGCUUCUUCGUUAAUUUCGUUAAAUUAUAUACCAAAAUUUUUAGAUACUCCAAUUAUCGAAUAUCCACUUUAGUACCUUUUAGUUUUAACUUUGUCACUGAUUUAACGAGUAAUUAGAAAAAAGAUUACUGAUAAUUAUCUCAUCUAAAAAAGAUUACGCAGAAGAAAAGAGUAAUUAGAAACUUAUUAAUAAAGUAUUAAAUAAUCUCAAUAGAUAAUAAACUUAUAAUUUUUAAUUUAUAGUUAGUUAUAUAAAAAUGGAACUGAUACUCACUUUCCACGGGUUAUGUGCUAUUUUUCGUAAGGAGCUGUUUGACUUUUCAAAAAAGCCUGAAUUUUUUUUCAAGUUCAUAAUUCUUUUUUUUGUUUGUCAAUUUAGUUAUAAAAAAAUUUAGCUUUUCUUUAAAAAUACAUUUCGAGAUUCUAUGAAAAAUUAAUAUUUCCUGUUUAAAAUUUUUGAAAAUAAAAAUACUAGUUCUAUGUAAAAUAGAAAAAAUAAUUUUUUAAAAAAACUAGUAUUUAAAUUAAAUUGGCGAAAAACUUGAAAAGUAAUUUUUUAUAAAAAUUAUUACUAUUAUUUCUUUUUAAUACUCUUUCGACGAACCUAAAUAAAUGAAAAUCCCUAUCUCUUGGCGAGGAAACGCCGUUAACUCUUUUAGAACGGCCGUCUCUCGUCCAAGCAAUCUCAGUUUGAUAAGAAUCUUUGCGCUUGGUCCACCACGUCAUCCAUGAACCCAAAGCUGAUCCGACCUUUUAAGCAACGUAAUCCUUAAUUUUAUCAUUACUUUUUUAAACCAGAUAAUUUAAAUACUUUUUUUGUCUCCCAAUUCACGUAUAUGUCAAGGGAUAUUGAAUUAUAAUAUAACUAAAAUUGUUAAAAUUUAGUAAUAAUUGAAAAUAGUGAUCAUUCUUUAUUUCUUCGUGAUUUGUAAAGUUUAAUAAUAAUAUAUGUAAUUAGUUAAUGUACAGAAAAUUUUAUUAUAUAUAUAUAUUUCUUUUAGUCGUGUUAUUCUAAAAAAAAAAUUUCAAUAAACUAGUAAUAUAAUUUCUGCUUAUAAUUUUAAAUAAAUAUAUCAUAUAAAAUAUAUUGUAUAUAUUUUAAAUAUAUUGUACCAUAACAAAUACAAAUACAUCAUAUAAAAUAUAUCUAUUUUAAUUAAAUUAUAUUGUACCAUGUAAGAUGAGAGUUUAAUAACAGAUAUUAUUAUAAUUUCAUAUUGAAAUGAUAUUCUAAAAAAAUAUUUAUUCAUAUAUUUUUUAUACUAGAGAAUAUUAGUAUUCUCAUAUAAAACAUAUAAAAAAAAUAUGGCAGAUAUAAUUCUACAUACGAAUAGUAUGAUGAAAUAGAACUUUCUCUAACUUUUUUUGGGGUUGAUCAUUUACUUGGAUGGUUCAUAGAUGACGUGAUGCACCCGGUCUUUCUAAAUGUGCCACCACUGAGAGAACACCGUUUUUGUGUUUUUGUGUUUUUUUUUUUUUUUUUUCAAUUNUUUUUUUUUUUUUUUUUUUUUUUUUCUUUUGCCUAACCCCAUUUUUUAUUUAUAUAUAAUAAGCUCGAUUCAUCGAUAUCCUCUCUCCCACAGUAGCCACAUAAAAAGCUAAAGAGAGAGAAAGAGAGAGAGAGAGAGAGAGAGGUUUAGGGUUUGUUCUGGUACACCUGCGGAGGAGCAUAGGGAGGAGGACGACGAUGGCGGAGCACGCGGGGGAGGAGACGAGCUCGGCGAGGGAGGCGCUCACGGAGGAGAUCGCGGAGAAGCUCCACGAUCAUCACCACGGCGGCGGCGGCGGUGGCGGCGGUGACUCCUCGUCGUCGUCCGAUUCCGACGCCGAGCGAUCCCGGGCCUCCGCUCCACCCCCGAAGAAGCCCAACAACUCCUGUCGCCUCUUCGGGAGGGAGAAACCCGUUCACGCGGUCCUCGGCGGCGGGAAAGGUAUGGCGUUGGGUAUUUUGUUAUUUGGGAGUGGUUGGAUCGAAACCCUAGUCUGGGUGGAUCUGGUGAGGUGGUUCUCCCUGAGAUCUGUUGGUAUUUUUUUAAUAAUUUUUUCGAACGAUAUAUUUUUGUGUUGAGCGACGAAAAGGGUUAGGGUUUAGCUUGAUUCGCCAUUAAAAGAAUAUGUAAUAUGUAAAUCUCUAUGUUAUCCGCUUCGAUCGAUUAAAACCCUCGUGGGGUUUUAUUAGUACCACUUGUUGGUACUUCGAAACGCAAUCAAAAUCGAAGAUGUUUAUUAACAAAUCUGUGAAUAAAUCAAAAUUAAUAUUUUUAGUUAGAAAUCUCCAUUAAAAACCCUUUUUUGGGUUUGAUGAUCAGUAAUCUCCAUUAAAGUUUUUAAUUACAAAUUUAUUUGGUGAACGAAUGAACAUUACACUGAAUUUUCUAAAUGGAGACCCGAAUAAAAUUUUUAGUUCACUAUUUAUUCUUCGUUUCUUUUGAUUUAUGGAAGUGUUUCAGUAAAUUUUGUUGGUUUUUGUUAGAAUACCAACUGCUUUGUCGCGCUACGAUAUAAAAUUAGAUACAGGUGAGUUUUGAAUUUUGAUAGGGAGACAUACUUCAACCGAACAUGUUGUAUGAAUAGAUAAAGAAAUCAAAAUUUUUAAUAGCUCAGAUACCUGUUCGAAAAUACGGCACAGUUCGGGUUAGAUAUGUACAUUUGCACCUUUUUUAUAUGUUAUUAGACCCUUCCUAUCAUUUUUGCAAUUCUUUUAUACUUUUUUUUAUGCAGUUGCUGAUGUGUUACUAUGGAGAGAUAGGAAAAUCUCUGUCGGAGUGCUCGGUGUCGCGACAAUUAUUUGGGUUUUGUUUGAAGUUCUUGAGUUCCAUCUGCUAACCCUUGUCGCCCACUGCCUCAUACUCUCUUUCGCCAUCUUGUUCCUUUGGUCUAAUGCCUCCACCUUCAUCAAUAAGUGAGACCUUCUCCUCUUGACCUUUUUUAUGUGAUAGUAAUAAUAGGAAUAAUAAUAGACCAACUUAAAAACUUUGAGUUGCUCUCCUUUUGGUUUUAGGACUCCGCCUCGCUUUCCGGAGGUGAGCAUUCCUGAAGAUGCGGUUGUGAAUGUUGCUCGUUCCCUGCGGUAUGACAUCAACAGGGCCUUUGCCGUUCUUAGGGAGAUCGCAACUGGCCGUGACUUGAAGAAAUUUCUCAUUGUAUGUCCAUUUUUUAUUCAAUCCAAUUCUUGCAUUUAUUGCCUGUUUGGCUUAGCGUCUUGAACUUCUAUAUCUUUGUGAAAAGCAAAAGCUAGGCUUAUAACAAACAAAAUGUUUGGAGCUUCUAGUUGUAGCAGGAAGCGGAACAAGUUUUUGGGCUCCAAUUGCGGGUGAUCCAACUUGAAGCUUCCCCUUCUAGCCGCAGAAAGGCAGCUGUUGAGGGGAUUUAAAAGUUGUUUAGACUUCCUCUAACAGCUCUACACGAGUGCAAUUUUUUUCCUGUUGAGUUCUAAUGUAUAUUCUGAUCUCAUAGGUAAUUGCUGGUCUCUGGGUUCUUUCUGUUAUUGGGAGCCAGUGCAAUUUCCUGACCUUGUUUUACAUAGGUAAUGGACUACUCCGACUUAGUCAAAUGUAUCAUUUGUUCUUGUUAAACUCAGACUAAACACCAAAAAUUCCCCUCUUGUGUGGAACGCAGUUUUUGUAAUACUGCACACUGUGCCAGUUCUAUAUGAGAAGUACCAGGACAAGGUGGAUUUAUAUGCGGAGAAGGCCAUGGCAGAAAUUAAGAAGCAUUAUGCGGUGUUCGACGCCAAGGUUCUGAGUAAAAUCCCUAGGGGCCCAUCGAAAGCAAAGAAGCACUAAAAUUGUAGGGUUUCAUUGUGAAUGGCUAGUUUGUGGUUUCGUCAGGUGAUACAGCGACUUGUUUCUUGGUUUCUUGGCGGUCCAAGUACCUCUCUUUAUCUUAUACUAUAGGGCUCUUUUUUUAGUUUGAACAAGUAUAUGAUUAUAGUUUGUUAAAGCAGCAGUAGAUCUUAAGUUUUUUGUGCGCUAAGAAUAGGUCUUUUUGUGUGUGUGUGUGUGUGUGUGUGUGUGUGUGUGUAGUGUGUUCAUAGUAAGAUCUUUCUAUUAUUGAUGAUCUUACCGAUCUGUGGAUAUAAAAUAGUUGAAAGAACAAUGUUUGAUCAGUUAAAUUUCCAAUUCAUGAUCCUGUGUUGCUUCACUACUGUUGAUUGUUUAUUCUGUUUGGUUAGUCGAAGAGACAAUAAAACAUAUUUCCUGUUUUUGACAAAUCAUAUGAAAGACUAAUUGCUAUCAUACUUUGAUUGAUCCCAUCUUUGACUCCCAGAGCUUAAAAAUGAAAAUUUGAUCUAGAAGGCGGCAAUGUAAGUAGUCCAUCUGCAAUCUUCAGAUAGUUUUUUAAGUAUGUUUGAGGUCUGGAAUUAACUGCUGCAAAUUGAAAUAUCUUCAGCUGUACAGUCACUGUUAUGUGUGUGUAGUGUGUUCUACUCCUCUUUUUUUUGGAAAAAAAAGAAAGAAAUUAGAGUUAUUUGAAAUUGAAGGCAAUGAAAUUCUGUAUCAAUUCAAAAUAUCUUAGGGUUCAGGUGGGGUUUUUCACCAAAGAUAAAUGGCCAGUAUCUGAAACUAUUUCGAUCCAAAUGGAUCGAUAUAUCCUGAAGCUACCCUCAGAGCAAUCCUACCUGGGACUUGGUAGUUCUGAUUGGAAUUGGUUUGAUCAACACGGUCUAUAUUUGAAGGUUUCAGAGAUAUUUGAAGGUUUCAGAGUUUUGGUCUGAAAUGUUAAAUCGCUGAACGAAAAGAGAUCGAUUUCGGAGUUUCUAUCAAAUACACGAAAGAGAUCGAUUUCAGAAAAAAUUGUUAACUCAUGGUGUAGACAAAUCUCAGAGGAGUAUGCCAAAAUUGUACCCAAUUUUUUUUUUUUUUUUAAAAUCCUCUAGUUAUAUAUGGGAUUUUCUUUAGAGAAAACCUACUGCACAUUAUGAUAUAACAGAUUAGAAUUAGUCUUAGUGCUCACAUGAAUGACGACACUUUUUACCAUAAUACGUCAAAUGCAGGAAUACGACUGAAGAUCUCUUGGAACAGAAGAGGUCGAGAGCUAGCUCUGAUACUAUGUUAUCCAAACACUCUUUUAACACAAACAACGUAAAGUUGAUCUCUUGCCGCCUUUCUUACAAAUUCCGUAUCAAACAAACAGAAAGAUGUAAAGGAAGAUCAAGAUUUAUUAAACAGCUAGCCAAGCAAUGCAUUCCGCUGAACUUUUGCACAACAACAGUAUUCAUCUAAAAGCAUGACACCAACCUACAACAUAGAAAUAACAUCAGCUUUACGGGCUCCUACAGUAACAGUAAUUUUAGCAGGACAUUAUCAUCCAUCAAUGCUCUGCAAAGUAUACUUUUCGCUUACCUACAGGGCUCUACAAAACAUCAAGUACUUGGCCUGAUAUGUUCAUCAUGUUUCGUGUUUUCUUAUUCCAUGAGCUUGAAGCUGCUGUCAUCUCGAGUGUUUGCAGCGGAGAUCACCAUUAUCCUAAUUCCAAUACUAUGCAUGUAUAUUUUGCGAGUACUUAUAUGAGAACUCAGAGGAAGUAUGUUAAUUGCUGCUUCUUCCUCGAACCCCCUUCACCGUACAAUUCGUUCCACUGCUUCAGCUCGCUCAUUAUAGAACCCUCCGCGGCAAAACUUGCUGCGACCUGCACAAUAUGACAUUGCAAAAUUCAUCAAAUCUGCGUGGGCGCACGGAUUUUCAAAUGCACAUGCAUUUAUAAGAUUUCAUGUGUUGCGAAAGAUGGACUCACUUGAUUCUUCGCUUGCCUCACGUCUUCCAUAUUUAAUGGCCUGAGGAUUGGCGCUUCUUCCGCAUUUUCCCCUGUCGUUUUUGAAGGCUCUGAUGGAUUCUCUCGUGCUUCAGCCUCCUUCCUCUCCUGAGAAUACGUACAAAUGCUAAGCUCAUAAUGAUCAAUAUAACAAGUAUAUGGAGUUGUUUGUGGAACAAUCAAUAUACAGUUGAUGUCCUAAAACAUCAUAAAAUUGUAUUGACAAAAGACAAUCAGAUAAAAGCGACCAGAUGCAGAAUUCAGGAUUACAAUAAGAUAAAAGCGACCGGAUGCAGAAUUCAAGAUUAUGUAAUGUCAGUAUGAGAUGAACAGUAGGAAAAAUAAAUCAAAGGGAACUAGAAAAGUAUCUUCUUGUUUCAAAAAUGGAUUGGAAAAGAGAGAGUAGGCAGAUAGAGACUAAGAGCAAAAGCUUCAAACAACCGCACAGAUUAGGGACAGAGGUACGUGGCUAGUACUCACCUCAAUCAUCAUUGCGAAAUUGACAGAAUAUCUAUGUACUACUAAAAUAAAACGGGAUUCCGAAACUCCUAUGCUGAGUGACGAACAAUAAUUCAGAUUUUUGUGGAAUUUUUUUAAAAAAUGCUUUACUGAGCACUCAGGGAGCAAGUGAUGAAGUGAACAUAUGCAAAACCUGCUUUCUUUGUUUUAGCUCAGCAAUUUAAAGUCCGAAAGAUAAGCAUAACUCAAGGCUUCUAGAAAAACAAAAUUUACCAGCUCCUUGACUCUUUCUUUCUGGAUUAGCUCCCUAACAGGCCGAUAAGCUGCUGUUGUGCAUAGAUUCUGCUCCAAAAAAAAAAUAGUUGGCAUUCCACAAUGUGCGAAACUAAUGAAUCACAAUUACAGUUAACAUAGUACAAACCUUUAGAUCGCUACCACUAUACCCUUCGGUCAUGGUCGCAAGUUCCUUAUAGUCGAGCCCUUCGUCAACCUUCUCUUUAGAGAGAAGUGUUCUAAGUAUCAAUUCCCUGCUCUCCAAUGACGGCAGGCCAACCAUUAUCCUGUUCACGAGAACUACAUAUUAGCUAGACAACAUUCUGUUGCUAUGGAUCUACCACUAUGGCUCAGCAACAAUUUCUCUUAUCGAUUAAGUCCCCAAGUCCUAUGCACUUGCAAAAAUCACUCUCAUUAAGCUAACACUUUUCCUUUUAUUUAAUUGUAUACUUUGAUUCAUAUUGUAAUUUACGUACAAUAUGAAUCGAAGUAUCUUGUACUUUUAUUAUCUUUACUAGUGUUUAACUGCAGAAGCUAACAAAAUCAAUGAUGAGAGAGAGAGAGAGAGAGAGAGACCUGCGCUCAAACCUCCUAAUAAUCGCUUCGUCGAGGUCGAAAGGCCUGUUCGUCGCAGCAAGAACAAGGAUUCUUUCUUCUGGCUUUGUCAAGAGCCCGUCCCAAUGAGCCAUGAACUCAUUCUUUAUCUUCCUCAUCGCCUCGUGCUCUCCGACCCUACUUCGCUGACCAAGCAUACUAUCCACUUCAUCUACAAAAACAAUAGUUGGCGAGACCUUCGCGGCAAGGGUGAACAAAGCUCUAACAUUUUUCUCAUCUUCUCCGAACCACUUUGAUGUGAUAGUGGACAUGGAAACAUUUAUGAAACUUGCUCCAGCUUCGUUUGCUAUGGCCUUGGCAAGCAUCGUCUUUCCCGUUCCAGGCGGACCGAAUAGCAAUAUUCCUCUGCACGGCUUGAGGAGGCCGCCUUUAAAGAGAUCGGGCCUUCGGAGGGGCAGCAUGACGAGCUCCUGAAGGGAUUCUUUGAUAUCAUCUAAGGCGCCUAUGUCGUCGAAUGUAACGCCAAUUUCGCUUGCAGGGAUCACUUCCGGCCUGAUUCGCUUUUCAAACUCGUUGUCAGGAGCAAGUUCCUAAAUGCAAAAUCACAAAUCAGACAAAUACAUAAACAAAUGAAAUGAAAAAACAAUUAAACAGCAAUUCACACAAAAGGCAGAUUUGCUACAAAUGGAAGUUCAUCAAUGAUGUAUAGGAGUUCGAUUAGAACUUAGAUGUUAAAAGGGAAAUUAUUUACAUAGUUCAGUGAAUGAAAAGUGAAAAGCAAAUCCAGCUGAAAAAACAUUAAGCUUCAAAGAUUUGAAUGCCUUCAGACACACAAUUUUACUAAACAAGUGAUGCAUUAUAUAUUUUAUAAAAUACUAGAUUAUAUAAAUUCUGCUACUUUAACAACAUAAGAUAAUUCAUCUUAUUUUACAAUCCCCUAGCAAAGGACUAAGAAGCUUACAGGUGCUUUUGGAAGUGGUGAAGAACCUUCUGCUUUUACCGCUGUGACCGGUUUCGCUGUAUCUGUUUUAUUUUCCGGAGGACAAGUUUCAGGAGGAGCAGCCUCAGCUUUUGUCUCCGGCUUCGGCACAGCUGCAUUAUCAUUUUGGGGUACCUACAGAUUAAACAAAAUUAAACAAGUGUCAGACAAUGUCAAAUUGAAGGCACGGCAUUUCAGCUGAACAAACCUUUGAUCGAUCGGUUGCUUCCAACUUCAAAGUAUCUUUGUCACCUAGCUUGUUCUCAUGAAAAAUAUGUAAUGCACGAGAUAAGCUGGUACACGAAAAUACAUGAGAUACCAAGAAUACAAUAAAGAAACGAAAUAACUGCCGAUUCAGAAAUUCUGUCUAACCUCUUUGAAGAUAUAACUAAUUUUCCGUUUCUAUACUCCGGGUCCUUGUUAUUCAUCAAAUGAUCUGAAACAGCAGAUAGCACAAUCUCUUCUAUGUACUUGCCCAGACCCAUUGUAUCUGCUACACAGAUCGAUCCCAAAUCGUCGCAAUCAAGGUCAUUUGCUGCCAGCACCUCAGUGAUGUGGUUUCUGUUGUCUUGAUAUUGGAUCAUUUUCAUGUCUUCUUCUAAUUGGGAUUUCCAGCUAACGAGGUGGGUCUCGUCCUCCGGUGGCUUAAUUUCUAUGUUGUAAGGAAAUAAAAGAGAAAUCUUUUCAUCGUUUUCUGGAUAGUCUUUUUCUGCUUCCGCCAUACUUGAACCAAGCACAAGUACUGGUCCUUCUAGCUUUUUCAACAACUUCUGGAACAAAAUAUACAUUCUUUGGGAUCUCAACAGAAGUCUCUCGACAUCCCUGAUGUAAAGGACAAUUGGAUUCCUUUUCGACACCGAAACUAGAACCUGAAACAAAUCACCAGAUUAACAAAAUCCUGACAAAUUGGAAAGAAUACUGUAAUUCUAUAUGUUGAAGUAGACCUAGAAAGCAUCGAGAGAUUCGAGACGGCACUGAACAUAAAUGUGAAAUUACACAAAUCUUACUCAGGAAGUACGACAAAAUAUAGUACGUAUGAUCAAUGGAAUAACACAUUUCUCACUCAUCUUAUUAAACAGGGAUAAACCCUAUUUUAUAACAGGGGUUAGGGUAGGAAGUACAGAGUAACAAUAAUAAAGCACAUCCCCAUGAAAAGGAAGAAGUAAAGAACUCCUCAACCCACAAACAAAAUAGUGUGAAUGUAUCUAAUUACUAAAGCACAUCUCACUCAUCUUAUUAAAAAGAAAUAAUACACAUUUACCUUGUUACUGAAGUAUUGUUUCUGAAGUAACCAAAUUUCUGAAGUAACCAUAUUUGUUUCUGAAGUAACCAUAAGAAACACAAAUAUGGUUACACAAAUCUUACUGAAGUAACCAUAUUUGUGUUUCUAUUCAGAAACAUCAAUAUGUAGAACAAAUACAAGAAAUUUGUUGUAAGUCAUGCCAGAAGAUAGAGUAAUAAGUGAAAUCUGAAGUUCUGAACCUUUUAUUAAUAAACAAACCAUCUCGCCGCAUUACUAUUCAAUGUAUUCAUUGCACAUUGAGGCUAAUUUAGUUAGUUCAAAGAAGCAAUCAUAUUUCGAACGAGAACAGAUUGUUACCAACAGCAGAAAAUAGCAACUCGUAAGGCUACCAUACUUUAUUUUACUAAAAGAACACCAUACCUUAUAAAGUGAUUGAAUUAGAAGUUUCUCAUCGAACGACCAACUGCUAGUGCGUUUGGUAGGAACUGCAAUUAUAAUAAAAGCAUGAGAAAAUAUCAAAGGCGAAAGUUCUUACAAAACACUCAGAAAACUAAAACUCAAGCGCACAAACAUCAAAGGAUAUCCUGCAAAAGGCCGUAGAAAUACUAUGAAAAUUAAAUGACAAUAGGCCAACAUAAACAUUUUUCCUUUCUAAUUUUCUAGUCAUUUUCUCUCUUUUUUAUUUUGAAGUAUAUUAUAAUUUUGUUGUCAGUCGCAUUCCUUGUGGUAAAAACAUAAAUGAUGGUAGGCAAUGCAAGGCUUUGAGAGCUGAGGCGUGCCAUAGUGCCGACCUGCACCUAGCAUGUCUCUGCACUACACCAUGCCACUUUGACAUGUUGCCGCAGCCUACAUGCCACUGCUUCGAAGAAGCUCUGGAGUUGAUUUAGACAGUAGUUUUGCUGGAAAUGGGGAUUUUCAAUAAAGUUCAUGGUGAAGAGGAAAAAGAAGAACAUGGUUUUCAACGGCGGCUUGGCAAUAUACACACAUAUACAACAAUUAAAAGAUGGACUAAUUACUCCUUUAUCUAACAGCAUGUCAGUGUUCCGGUAGUCCUACUAUCCAAAAGCAAGAAGAAAUAGUUUACAGACCUGGAUUAGCAGGAGAGCACUGUGAGGACAGACUAAAAAUAUCAGCUGAAGCAGAGGAAUUCCUUCGGAGCUUUGUCAUGCUGCUUGUGCCUUCUAAUUCCCUAAUCAGAAGUUCAAAAAUUUGGUGAAUCAUGUUAUCUAAAGAAUAUUUUAGUAUGCUUCGUUAGAAAUAAGUCUGUUUUAGUAUACUUUGACCUGAUGUCCAUGCCACUACUUUGCCUGCGCAAUGAUCCUGUGAAGAAGUUGCAAUGCGCUCAGAGGUAGCAGAAUAAAUGUCCACAAUUAAUAUUUAUAAAAGAUUUUCAAGGAAAAUGUCACAAGUUAAAACAAAGAAAUUGGUGACAUAGAAUAGAAGAAUUAUGUUUGAGUGAUACAAACAGAUAUUCUGAUGACCGGGCUAUACAUAAGAACACAACAUCCAAUCAACCAUAUAUAAAAGUAACAAGAAAAGUAGAGUUUCAAAGAGAAAUUUUCCUUCCUGCAUUACCUUUUGCUUCCUCUUUCUGGGGAAUGAUUGAAAGAGAUCCGAGAAAAUCAGACAUCCGUUCUAGCGUAAUUUCAGAAAUGGACCUUCUAAGGGGCUGAACAAAAGAAAAUAACAUCUAAAUCAGAGAUUAGCCAUUAACUACUAGAAGGCCAUUAGUCACCAAAAAGAAAAAAAGCACUGUAGCAAGUAAUAAGUAUUUGAAAAUUAUUUAUCAAAGAAAUAUUUUGCUGUAUCCUAGAAAUAGUAGGUUUCUCUUUCUUUAAAGUGUUAAAAAGGAAAGUUUUUCAAGCUAGAAGGCAAGCAGAAUAAGAUUUGUAGGUCGGCAAUUCAACAAGUUCAGACUUGAGAGAUCUUACGGAAUCUGCAACACCACUGCCAUAUUUGCUCUGAAUCUGUAAAAGAUGCGGUGAUUUCUCAUAAGAACAGCGCACAGGAAACUAAUUCGCAAAGCUGAUAAACCAACUCACUUUAAGUGAAAAGUCGGUUACGUCCAGCAAAAGCAACUUCGCCUCAAAAUAAUGAGCUAGCGCCUUUGCAAGCAUUUGCUUAUAAAGCUCUUCAGGCAGGAAUUUCUCAAGUCAGUAAUCAGAAGUUAAGAAAAAGGCAACAACUAACCAGUUUUGAGGACUGACUAUACAAGUAAACAUUAUCUACCUGCAGGGCCUGACAGUAAAAUAGCCCGACUUGCCGGAGAAAGGUUUCUGGUGUACUUAGAAAAAUCUCCUUGCUUUAAGUGAACAUAAGCUGCACUUGUCAAUACGACGCGAGUGUGCUCACUGUCAUUGAUAGCAAGAAUGCAAAAUCAUCAGGUUUGAUACAAAUGUGAAACCUCUUUGCUGGGUAGGAUACUCAAUCUAAUCUUAAGAUCAUGGUAUGAGUUUAGACCAGUGAAUGGUAGUGAAGUUCUUGUAGUAAUUAUAACAAGAUAAAAACAUACAUUACUUGAACUAGAGGCCAUUUUGAGUCAAUUAUCCAAACUUCAAAUUUUUUAUUUUACUACCCGACCUUUUCAUUUAUUUGAUUUGAAUCAAUCAAUAACAUUUUGACUUCAAAAUUUAAAUGAGUCAUUAAAGUACACAAUUAGUUUAAAUUUUGAAACUAAUUAUUAUGCCCUUUUUGUUGUAUGAUUUGCACAUGAUCAUGUAAAACUUUGACACAAUAAAAAUUGAAGAUGGAUUCAUCCUGUCCUUCAAUCUUGAUACAUCCAUCGUUUUCGUUCAGGGUGUGCUUGGUUCCACAUAAAACUAUAAAAAAAAAAAAUUCGGUGAAAAAAAAGUUUUCGGAGGAAAACAAAUUUUAUGCUCUUUAGUAUUUGGUUUGUAGGAAAAAAAUAUAGUUUUCCAUCACAGUUAUUUGGUUGAAAGGGAAAGAUAAAUAAAAAACUAUUAUAUAAAUAAAUAAAUAUAUAUAUAUAUAUAUUAUACUACAAAUAUUAUUAAUUAUAAUUAAAUAUAAUAUAUUUAAAAUAUAUUAUAAAAUAAGAAUGUAAUAGAGAGAGAGAGAGAGAGAGAGCAGGUCUUGUAUGCUAUUAGGAGCACGGAAGCCUCCGUGCUGCUAAGUCGUUUUCGACAAUAGAGCUUCCGAAUUGAUGAUCAGAUCCGUUAGAUUUGAUCUAGCAUAUUUGACGUGUCUAGAAAAUAAAUUUUAUAAUUUUGCGAUAUCAUUUACGUAGUGAUUGAGAGGGUUCAAAAUCAACGGCUAAAAAUAAAAAUCUCACAAAAAGUGGUGAUAUAAUACUAAAAUUUUCUAUCAAAAUUUUAUCUGAUUUAAAUACUUCUAAACCGUUAAACUUGCAAACGAUAUACAUCAACCAUUAAAAAUUAUUGAUUUUGAACACUUUCGAUCGCUAAGUAAAUGAUAUCGAAAAAUCACAAAAUUUAUUUUUCAUACACUUCAAAUAUGCUAGAUCAAGUUUAACAGAACCGAUCAUCGAUUCGGAAGCUCCAUUGUCGAAAAUGGCUUAGGAGCACGAAGACCUCCGUGCUCCUAAUAGCAUACAAGGCCUACUCUAUAUAUAUAUAAUGAGGCUACUGUACUAUCUAUAGUACCGGAGCUCCGAUACUAUAGUCUCAUUUUUUAUUUUAGGGUGUUCAAAACAACGAUCCACACUGUUAAAUAUAAUUUAGGGUAUAUGAAAUUUUUAGGAGUAAAAUUUUAAUUUUUUUCGACAUUGUUUACUCAGAAAGUAAAUUGUGCCUAAAUAAACAGUGAAAAUUGAGCUAUCUUUAGUGAGAAUAGGACUUUUGAAUUCAAGAUCAAAGGCACUAAUCUUGAUCUAGAUAAUUUAAAAUAUUUUCUAUCAAAAUUUGAAUAAAUUUAGAUUCUUCUACACCGUUAAACUACAAACUUUUCAUAGUAGCAAUUGAAAAUUGACAAUUUUGAAGUGGUUUGGUCAUAAAGUACGCUAUGUCGAAAAAAUAUAAAAUUUUAUUUCUAAAAACUUUUAAUACCUUAUAUCAGUUUUAACGGUGCGGGUCGUUGAUGUGAACAUCCUAACAUCGAAAAUGAGACUAUAGUACUAAAACUCCGGUGUGUGUAUAUAUAUAUACAUAUAGAGUUGAGCUAGAAUACUAUCGAUAACAAACAGACUCCGUUGCCAUCCAUUUGUUUUCGAUGAUGAAGCCUCCAAAUCGACGAUCGGUACCGUUGAACAUGAUCUAUACCACUUGAAGUGUUUAGGAAUCAAAUUUCAUACAUUUUCGACAUUGUUCUCUUAUCCAUCGAGUGGACACAAAAAUGAAUGGCUGAAAAUAAAUAUUCUUUAAAAAAUGAUGAUAGGAGUCUUGUAAUCAAGAUCAAGAGUAUAGAUCUUGUUUUAAAUAGUUUAAAGAAUUUUCUAACAAAAAUUUAAUUGAUUUGAAUAUUUUUACGCUGUUAAACGAGAAAACGCCUCAUAUCGACCAUUAAAAUUACAAAUUUUGAAUCAUUAGGCAAAUGAUGUCGAAAAAAUUUGAAAUUUGAUUUCUAAACACUUCAAGUGGUAUAGAUCAUGUUCAACAGUAUCGAUCGUUGAUUUGGAGGUUCUAUCAUCGAAAACAAAUGGGUGGCAACGGAGCCUAUUUGUUGUCGAUAGUAUUUUAGCUCAACCUUCAUAUAUAUAAUUAAUAUAUUAUAUAUAUAUAUAGUAUACUAUAUAUAUACCUGUAAUAUAUAUAGCUAGCUGGACUGGUAUACUAUCAUUAGCGCGGAGGCUUCCAUACUACCAAGUUGUUUUCAAUAACGCGGCUUCCAAAUCGACGAUCGGCUCCGUUGGGCUUGAUCUACACUAUUAAAGUAUUUGAAACUAAAUUUCAUAAUUUUUCGACAUCAUUUGGCUAGUAAUCAAAAGGUCUCGAAAUUGACAAUUUUAAUGAUUGAUGUGAUGCAUUUGUGAAUUAACGGUGUAAAACAAUCAAAAUCUGAUAAAACUUUUAUAGAAAAUCCUUUUCACUAUUUAGAGUAAGAUCAGUAUCUCUGGUCUUAAAUUCAAGUCUUUUAUCAUCAUUUUUUGUGAGAUUUUUAUUUUCAGCCGUUCAUUUUUAGACUAUUCGUUUGAUAGUUAAAUGAUGUCGAAAAAUUAUAAAAUUUAGUUUGUAAAUACUUUCAAUCGUGUAGAUCAAGUCUAACGGAGCUUAUCGUCGAUUUGAAAGUCGCGUCAUUAAAAACAACUUGGUAACACAGAGGCCUCCGUGCUACCAAUAGUAUACCAGCCUAGCUCUNACGAAGGCCUCCGUGCUACCAAUAAUAUACCAGCCCCUCUCUCUCUCUCUCUCUCUCUCUCUCUCUCUCUCUCUCUAUAUAUAUAUAUAUAUAGAAGAGUCUACGGUCCACAAUGGACUCCCUCUCAUGCGGUCCACGAGGUGAAGUAGACCUCAUAGGCCGCGCAUUUCCUGCCCCCAAGAGCCACGUGCUUUGCUGUCGGGCUUUCGUAUUCCGCUAGUUUUGAGUGAAAAACGAAAACCUAAUUCUCCAGAGAAUUUGUAAAAAAAAAAUUAUGGACAAAUAAACAUUCGAAAAUCAUUUUUCAAGGGAAAAAAAUUUUCGGAACAAUUUUCGACCGAACAAAGCACACCCUCACUCGAAUUGAAGAAAUGGAUUCUUUUCACAUUUUAGAAUUUUACAAAAUCAAGCGCAGGACAUUCGAGCAAAACCACAAUUUAAUUUGCAACUUCACUCGAGGGAAGAAAGGGGCAAAUAAAAUUGUUUGAUAAAAAUCUUUAAAAAACAAAUUACACAAACUAUAAAAAUUUAAAAAGCCAUUUGCACAAAUGCUAAAAUUCGGACAAUUUUACAUUUAUCUCCUUUGAAAAAAAAAUCCAUUCAUUUAUCCUGUUUUGUGCCACACGAUUACACGAACGACUUAUUCCACUGAAUCCCACUCAAAUUUCAUUCCCCGAUAAACUCGUGAUGCUCACAUAAUUUUUUUUUAAAAAAAAUACUAUUUGUACAUUCUAGUAAUAUAGUAUAUAUUUUACGCACAGAUCUAAAAAUUCAAAAUUCAAAACUUCUUUUUAUUAUUUUAAUAUUAAAUAAAUAAAUAAAUAAAAUCAGUAAAAAUAAUAAUAAAUUUUGGAUGAAUAAAACAUAAAAUUUACGCCCUGCUUAUAGGUAUAGAAAUAGCAUUUGCAUGCCCUAAAAUAAAACCCCAAUUCCAGUAAAUUUUCAAACAAAUAAAUAAAUAAAUAAAAGCCUCGCCAGGCAUUCACGUCAUUUUUUUUUUACUUUUUAAGCACUAAUUCUAUAUAAUGUGAUAUAAUGUUGUAAAAAAUAAAAUUCGGUUGUUGUCAUAAUUAAUUAGCUUGCGAUGCUCUCCGAUCCGAUCAGAUGAAUGAUAAUUUAUUCAAAAAAAAAAAUUAAAAGCAAAAAAAAAAAAAAACAUACUAAAAGAACAGAUAAAAGUGUUCUUAAUUAAAAAGAGAGAGAGAGUAAUUAUAACCUGAGGUAGUAGGGAAACUGGUCGAAAGUAACUUUGCUUUCCGUGGCGUCGACGAGGAGCCUGAGCAGCUCCUUCUCGACGCUCUCGCUCGUCACGCCGGCCGCCGGCCGCGCCGCCCCGCCGCCCGCCCACCGCCCGACCGUCUGGCCGGACGCCAGCCCCAGCCCCACUCCCACGCCCAGCCCCACGCCGAUCGCCGACAUCACUAUGUGCUUCUGCUCCAUCUCCUGAUCUCUCUCUCUCUUUACCUUUCUUUUUUUUCUUUUUUCUUUUUUUUUUUUUUUUGGGUUUUGGGGGUGGAGAAUGGAAUGGGAAUGGGAAUGGGAAUGGAAAAGGGGAAGGGAAGAAGGAGGGGGUAAUGGGGGAGGCGGUUAUUAUUAUAUCGUGUUGGGGGGAUUUGUGUCGCAGCGAGAGCGCGGGGUGGGGGGGCCGCUGUUUCCGCCCUCCGCUUCGGUGGGGGUGUCCAGAGAGCGCUUAUUAUUAAUUUAUUCAUCCAUCCAUCCAUUCAUCCAUUCAUUCAUUCAUUUAUUCAGUCAUUUUCUCCGUCGCCUCGCCCUGCUGCGAGUGUGGCGCGCGGGGAGAGACGCUGACGUGGAAUUUUCACGGUGACAGAGGCGUCCCAUUUCCGUCAGACCGAAAUAGAACGGUCUCAUGCUCCGUAAUCAUAAAUUUAAAAUUUUAAUUAAUUACAAAAUAAAUAAUUAAUUUAAAAUUUAUAAAUUUGAAUUGUGACUCGGCCUAACUCGGCUAUCGCCUUAUUAGCAGCUCGUCCUGUGCGAGCAUGGUGCGAAAAAAAAGUAAAAUUUUGAUGGUUACAAAAUGAUGUUACCGUUCAGUUGUAAUAGAAUGACUCUGAUACUGUUUGUCAAAUCGGUGGUAUUAAUUAUAAUUUUAAAAAAAGAUAAUUAAUUUACUCAAAAUUUGAGAACUAUAAUUCUGAUUUGAUUCAACAUGGCUGUCGCUAUAUUAUCAACAAUAAACAACCUGAAUUUUUAACGCAACUACUGCCAAAUAAUGAUGAGUCCAAAAUUAUGAAACCUAUUUAUCAAUAUUUUUGUGAUUUGUACAUAUUUAUAUAUAAAAUAAAUCAUAAUUGUUAAAAAAAAAAUUAUUUGUGAAAGGUCCCUAAGAUUCAUAUGUGGUCAGUCACAACCGUGCUCAGAGUUAUAAGUGUUGAUUUGUAUAAUCAAUUUUGUUUACUUGCAAGUGUACGGAGGGUGAUGUUUUUUUUAUAUGGAGGCUAGCUAGUCUAGUUAAAUGAACAUUAUUUAAUAAUUAUAAUUAAAUAAAAUAUUAUAUCAAACUAAUUAUAUAUGGUGUAUCCCUAAAAAUAAUUAAAAAAAUGAUCGUGAACAAUUUUGUCUUAAAACAAUGUUGUAAAAGGUCAAGUUAUUAUAAAAUAUAUAGUCCACUUAUAAAAUAACAUGAUAGGGUGUCUCAAAAAUUAAGAAGUCUACUGUUUCAUAUUUAUAUCAUAUCAUUAAUAACAAGUUAAUCAUAUAUAUAUAUAUAUAUAUUUAAAAAAUAUAAUAAAAACAUUAUUUUAUAAUUAUAAUAAAAUAGAUAAUUUAAAAAAAAUUGUUUGAUUGAUUGGAGAUACUACGUCGUAAAUAUAUCCGGUGCCUUCUAGAAUUUUCUCCAAAAGCAAUUUUGGGAGACGCUUCACGCAUGCAGUUGAGCGGAGUGAUUUGGCAACUCUCAGAAUUUUAAUUAACGGUCUAAGAUUACGUGGAGGGACAAGCGCCAUCCACGUUUGCAGGAAUCUAAAAUUUUUUAAUAAAAAAUAAUAAAACUAUCCGUAAGCAACUGUACAACUAUAAUUAAAAUUAUCUUAUAAAGAUUACAGUUUGUUUGAUAACUAGGGAUGUCAAUGGGUAUGGAUACCCGAAAUUUUAUCCGAAUCUGAACCCGAAUGAAACGAAUAUAUCCGAUAGAUAUGGAUAUGAAUUUAGAUAUAGAUAUAAAAAAUAAAAAUCCGACGGAUAUGGAUUCGGAUAUGGAUUUUGAUUGUAUCCGACCCGAACCCGAACCCGAUCCGAACCCGAUUUAUUUUGUAUUAUAUAUAAUAUAUAAAUAAAAAUUUGAUGUUAUAUUUGAAUUUGUAUUUUAAAAAUUUUAAAUUUAAUAUAAUAUAUUUUGAAAUAUUGAAAAAAAAUAAUUGUUUCGGAUUCAAAUUUUCAGGUUCGGGUUCGGGUUCGGGUUCGGGUUUCGGAUUUUUGGUCGGGUUCGGGUUUGGAUAUGGAUUUUUAAAAUCCGUCAGGUUCGGGUUCGGGUCUUGGGUUUGGAGUCGGGUUCGGAUUCGGGUUUUUAAAAAUCCGCCCCGAAUCCGAUCCGUUGACAUCUCUAUUGAUAACUUGUGAGAAAUAUGUUUAGAGAACCCCUCAACUAUCAGAUCUUUUGAACUUGCUCUCUCAAUUGCAAUUUUUUUUCUCAUAAUUAAUUUCAUUGACACAUUCAAUUUUUUACAUAUUUUUUUAGAAAAUCUCUUAGUAGUCACUUAGAUUAGAAAUUUAUCAAAUUUACUAGUGAUCCUGUCAAAUUUACAGUUGCUUGGUUACGAAGUCUCAUACUAUUAUGUAUUUAGAACUUUUCUACAGUAGUAGAGUCUAAUAGAGUUAGUGAACAUACAUAUAAUAUGGGAGACUGCAACAUCCGCGUAGGCUUGGUUACGAAGUCACAUUUUUUUUUUUUAAACUUCCGCGUAGGCUUUAUUUCUAAACUGCAAUCCGUUCCAGGUGUGGUUAGUAUUUUUUUUUUCCACAAAAAAAAAUGGGAGACUGCAACAUCCCAAUAACAAACAACAAAUCAAGUAUUGGACUCCUGAGUCCUGAUUUUUAGGCCGGCAACCAAAAUAAUAACCACGGAAUUCAGUUCCUAGUCUAGGCGUCACGGACACAGACACGAAACACAAAAUACGACACGAUUCGGACACCGCGACUCAGCAACUUUUAAAAAAUUAGGACACGACCACAACAUGAACAAUACUAAUAAAAUAUAAUAUUAUUAAUAUAAUAAUAUAUUUUUAUUAUAUAUAAAAUAUUAAUUUUGAUAAAAUAUUAUUAUAUUUCUCGUACGAAUGGAAGUUAAUAAAGUUUUUAUUGAUAGUUUAUAUAUUUUAAGAAAAAAAAAUUUUCACCAUACAUAACUUAUUUAUAUUAUUAAAAAAAAAUUAUAUGCAUUCAUAAAAAAAUUAAAAUAUUUAUCAUUUUAUAUUAUAUAUGCAUAAAAAAUAUAAAAUAAAAAUAGAUGCGCUAUAGAUCGACAUUAAAUAGGCGUUCAAGGAGUAUCAACAUCGGACACGUGCGCGUCCGACACGGACAAUGCCAAAUCAUGGCUGUAUUCUAACCAGUGUCGUGUUCUAAUUCCAAAUUCUCUGUGACGCAUAAAUAAAUAAAUAAAUAAAUAAAUACUCUUGAUUGAAUUCAAAGGAUUGCCAAAGAGGUAAUCUGAACCGUAAGCACGGAAUCAGGGGCUAACGGCGGCGGCGCGUCGAUGACGAACGGUCGGGAUGCGCCGUCAGAAUCGCGCUGCUCCGCGGAGCGAGGCGACGAGGUUCUUCGUGCGGCGCGGAAACGGAUCCCUGUGAGACGUACACGUGGCGCGCAUGCAAGGCAUCUAGCAGUUGGCAACGUUGUGGAACGGAAAAAAUAUCUGCUGGAGAAAAUAAAGUUUUUAAAUUUCUGCGUACAACCGAUUAUUAUAAUUUUUUAAAAAAAAAUAAUUAUGUUUUCUAUUUUUUUUAAAAAAAAUGGAUUGACUUUUUAGUACAUGAGGAUCUAUACUACAGUAGCUCCUAACUUGACAAGAUUUAAUUCUCAGUGAAAAAUUAUUAAUAUAAUCUCCUCUUAAUGACCGCUACGGCCAAUAAUUGGUAAUUAAUGAGUUGUUAACUUUAUCUGGAUAACAUGCGACGGUAAAAUUACGACGGUAAACAAGCUGAAAAGAUUAGAGGGUGACAGGGACCCUCUUUUUGCGCUAAAUUAGACUUUGUUUUGAAUCACAAAAAGAUUUACACUAUCGUAGAGAAAUAUAAUAAAAAAAAAUUUGGUACUUUUUGUAGCAUACCGCAUAAGUUGAUUACGAUAUAUUUUUUGUAACUCUAAUAAAAAAAAUGAGUAAAUGUAAUUUUAUAUGCUUUUACCCUAACUCUAUUUUGUGAUCUGCCUAAUUGCAUUAGAUGACUCUGUAUAGCAAACAAGCCCUUAUAUAAAAAUGGAGAGAAAAUAACUGUUAAUAUAAAUUGUUGGAUCUGUUUACUACUAAAUCGAUAUUUUGAGUAACAUUAAUAUAACAUUAGAAUCAAUUCAAACUCUCUUCGUUUUCGUGCGGUAGUGAGCUCAAUAUCUACUUUCAACAUUUAACAUGUUAAAACUCUCUCAUUAUAUAAUGAGUUAAAUCUCCAUUUUUUACUUAUUAAUUUUACGUGUUUUUUAUAUUCAUCAUGCACGUGAGUGUAGAUGUUAAUAUAUUUUUCACAUGAGUGUGGAGCUUUUUUAUAAAAUGACCUUCCAAAAAUUCAAAAAUGACAAAAUAAUUUUGUCAAAAUUUUAUUUGGAAAACUAAUACCGCCUUCAUAAUAUAUAUGUGAAGGAGGUGAAUUAUUCACCGUCUUAUCUGUGUUCCACCUCAGGACUUAGACAAAUUUCGAUUAAUUUGGAAUGUUUUGCACUAAAGGAGGUGAAUCAUUCACCGGUUUCAUAUAUAUAUAUAUAUAUAUAUUAUGAAGGCGAUGAAUGCUUUUAUAUAUAUGUGAAAGCGGUGAAUCAUUCACCGUCUUCAUAGCAAAAUGUCGGCGUGGCGCCCACGUGGCGAAAAAAGGAUUACUUUUUCAAAUAAAAUUUUGACAGGAUCAUUUUUCAAAUUUCAAAAUUUUGAAGGGUCAAUAUGUCAAACUGCUACCAAGGACUAAAAGAUCUUCCAAGGCAUAAAAAUAAGCAUAGAUAGCAUGUGGCUUUCGGCUCGAGAAAUUUAUAAACAGAUUGGUACAGAAGAAUGUUUAAGGAGAAAGCCAGUCAGUUCAAAAUUACAUGUCAAAUCCUUUCAUAAUUUUUUUUUCUUUUUGAUAUUUUUCUGAGUAUAUGUUGUCCUUAAUUUGUAUACUAUUUGUUACCUGACUUGUUCACUAUCUUAAUGAAUGAAGAAGAAUGAAAGUUUAUUUCUCUUUCUUAAAAGAAAAGAAAAAUCUGUAACUAGUUUGUAAUCUUUCUAAUAACAUAAGUCAUUAGUACAAAAUUUUUGGUCCUUAGACGAAGAGUUAUAGAAUUAUGAUGAUAGUAGUUUUCUUAAGAUUUAGUAGUGUUUGGUGAAAUAACGUUAUAUAAUUAAGACAUAUAAAUGGCCAUUAAAAAGCACCUCAGCGGUACUCAUAUAUAUAUAUAUAUAUAUAUAUAUAUAUAUAUAAAAUGUAACAUAUAAAACAAUACAUAUAUAUUUUUCCACCUAGCUUUUAGUCUAGUGCUCCCACGGUACCUAAUAUAUAAAUAUUGAAAUAUUGAAAUUAAAAUUAAACUAUUGAAAUGAAUCUGAAAAUUUAAAAUUAAAAUUAAAUGUAAAUUUAAAUAUUAAAAUUAAAAUAAAAAUACAAAUUUAAAGUUUAAAUCCAAAAUCAAAAUCAGAUUUCAAGAAGCAGCUUUUUUCUGCUUCUGAUUUUGGAGCCUUUAAAAUCAAUUUUCUGAUUCUAAAAAACAGAAUCAGAUUUUAAAAGUGGGUUGCCAAACACUCUAUUGAACCGAAAAUUACUUUUCAGUCCAAAAGCGUAUUUUAAAAGAUAGGCCAAACACCCCCAAACUCUAGAAUCGUUUUCCGGUGGAGCACAAAAAUACAAUGGGAAUAUGGGAUGCAUCUACAGGCCAAAAAAACCUACGGAUCUGUUUUUUUUUUUUUUUCUUUAAACAUAUGUUAUAGUUAAAAUAAUUAUUAGGUUAUAGUUAAACUAAAAUUAAAACCCACCAAGUAAAAUCAACUGGGCCGCUGAAUCAGAUAGACGAGUUAAUUAAUUGGAUUUGGAUCAAACACAAAAACAUUAAGUCACUCUAUAUGGGAGUUAUUCGGUUGUUUUUGCUUAAUCGAACUACAACUUAAACUCAAUUUAAUUUGUGGUGUGAGUGAAACAUAUAUUGUUGACUCAAAUUAAUUGGAUUUGGAUCAAACACAAAAACAUUAAGUCACUCUAUAUGGGAAUUAAUAUUCGGUUGUUUUUGCUUAAUCGAACUACAACUUAAAACUCAAUUUAAUAUGUGGUGUGAGUGAAACAUGUAUUGUUGACUCAAAUUUUGAUUAUUUAGUGGAAUAAUCUUUCCGAUCCAGUUUUCAGAUCGGAUCUGAUCUGACUCUUCAACAUGAAUCUGAUUUUGGUUUUUUUUUUUUUUUUUAAGAGAAAAGUAACAUACUAUCCGUUUUAUUUAUUUUUUUUAGAAAUAAACUUAACUGAAAAUGUGAAUUAAACUAUGAUUCAAAAUUGAGAUAUUAGAUACCAACUAUUAAGUCCUUUGCCACUUGCGCUACCGACGGUUGGUGAAUCUAAUUUGGUUUUAACGCGAAGCGUUGGAGAGAGUCGGUUUAAUAUAGAAAUCAAAAGGCCGCGCCUGAUCCGGACCUUUUUGGGGCCUCGGGUUUUAAGACCCGAUCUGGUUUAAUGGACGAAUCAGGUCCGACCCAUUAAAAGCCAGGGUGCUUGGCCCGGACCUUAUUUCCAGAGAGCUUCAACUAAUUUCAAAAGUUAAUAGUAGGAAAAGGAUUUUUUUUUUUUUUUUUUUUUUUUUUAACCAGUUCGAUUUUGAUUUUAAGAACUCCAUCAUACAAUUUAAAAGGUACGGAAUUGGAUUUUGAUUUGGGCUAAAUUACACUCACUACAAAAUAUUAGUUUAUUAGCAGUUUUAUUUUUUUUCCUUUCACCUCCUAGUUAUGUCUCAAAGUAAUUUUUGUUCUCAAAUUGUGAGCCAAGUCCAAUAUUGAUCAUUAAAAUUAAUUUAUUCUAAAUUUAUUUGGAUAUUUUAGAUAGUUGCAAUCAAGUCUUAUAGUUUUAUUUACUCGAGUAGAUGAUAAUACGUUGUAGAUAUGAAUAUUAUUGAUACGACAAUAAUAUGAUAUUUUAAUUAUUAUCAUAUGAUUUAUUACAGAUAUUAAACAACAUAUCAUCACUCAAUAAACUAAAUCAUAAUAAAUCUCAAUUAGAGAUAAUCUAAAAAUUCAAAUUUAAAAUUAGGUUAAAUGCAUACAACUUUUUGUAAAUAUAUCGAAUAGCAAAUAUAUCUCUACAAAGUUUAUUUUUUUAUAUUUAUUUCUGCAAACGUCCUAAUAUUUUUAAAUAUACUCUUACUGUUAGAAUCUGUUAGAAAAAUAUAGUUACUUUGGUAAAAUACUUAACAUUGGCUAGUGAAUUAGAUAAAUUGAUCUUUUUAUCAUUCUUAUAUUAUUUGUAAUGGUAGAAAGGAAAAAAAUUAUAAUUGAAAAUUUUUGGGAGAACAUUUCUCGAUAAUUAUAAUAAUUAGGGCUUUUGAAUGUACAUAUUUGUGAUGAUAAUAAUGUCAUUUUACUUAUCUUCUAUAAAAAAAUAAACAAUGCUCAAAUGAUAAUAAACCAAAGGAACAAAUAUAAAUAUCAUUUUCGUAUAAAUAAAUGUAAAAAAUUAAAUUUUGAUAUGUUUAUAUAAAAUUAACCCUAAAAUUUAUAGCAACAAAUUAAAAUUUACAAAUACUAAUCGUUUCUAGCGUAAGUGCCAAAAAACUUCGUGAUUAGUACCCGAGGUUAUAUUUUUAAAUAAAUUUAUUUAUAAAAAAGAUAAAGCGGAUAGAUUUGUACAUUUCUCUCUCUAUCUCUCUCCAAAAAAGAAAUUACAAAUAAAGGGUUAAUUGCAUACAGAUACCCGCAAAUAUAGUAAAUUGCAAAUAUAUUCCUGUAAAGUUCAACUUUCAUAAAUUAUCUCUACAAAAGUCGUAAUGUUUUCAGAUAUGUCCCUCUAAUUUGUUACCGUUAGAGAACCAUUAAAAAAUUGUUUAUAUUUCAAAUUUUUCCAUCAUAAAUAUGUCGCUUCAAAAGUUAUAACAGUAUCAUAUAAGGGGGGUAAAAAGGUCAAAAUAAACCCAAAUAAAAUAUUUAAAGUGUGAUUAACUAAACUUUUUUAACGGAUUCUAAUAGCAGGAAUAUAUCUGAAAAUAUUAGGACUUUUGUAGGAAUAACUUAUAAAAAUUGAACUUUAUAAAAAUAUAUUUAUAAUUUACUAUAUUUGUUGGGACAUGUACGCAAUUAAACCACAAAUAAAAUUGGGUCUACAUGCUUUCCAGUCUCAGGGGUGUUUGGCCUAACUUUUAAAAAGCGCUUUUGGGCUGAAAAGUGAUUUUCGGCUGAAUAGAGCGUUUGAUAACUCACUUUAAAAUCUGAUUCUGCUUUUUAGAAUCAGAAAACUGAUUUUGAAGGCCCCAGAAUCAGAAGCAGAAAAAAACUGCUUCUUGAAAUCUGAUUCUGAUUUUGGAUUAAAACUUCAAAUUUUUAUUUUUAUUUUAAUUUCAAUAUUUAAAUUUAAUUUUAAUUUUAAUUUUUAAUUUUCAGAUUCAUUUUUGAAUUUUUAAAUUUUAACUUUUAAAUUUUAAAUUUUGAAAAAUAGAUUUCAAGAAGCAGAUUUUAAUUGUUUCUUAUUUGUGGCCUUUAAAAUUAGAAAGUGAUUUUGUAGCCAAAAAUAGUUAUUCCUCAAAUAGAUAGUUGGCAAUUUCCUUUCCAAAAUCUUGUUUUGAUUUGUAGAAUUAGCUUUCUAAUUUUAAAGGCCACAAAUAAGAAACAAUUAAAAUCUGCUUCUUGAAAUCUAUUUUUCAUUUCGAAUUCAAAUUUUAAUUUAAUUUUGAAUUCAAAUUUUAAAUUUAAAUAUAGAUUUUAAAUCUUAAAUUUUAAAUUUCAAGCUUUAAAUUUUAAAUUUUAAAAUUUCAAAUUUUAAAUUUAUAUAUUGAACUUAAUUUUUCAAAUUUAAAAUUUAAAAUUUAAAAUUUAAAACUUAAAAUUUAAGUCAAUAUUUAAAAUUUAAAAUUUUUAUUAAGUUUUAAAUUUAAAUUUUAAAUUUUAAGAUUCAGAUAAAUUUAAAUUUUAUUUUAAAUUUAAAAUUUCAAAAUUUUAAUUCUAAAUUUAAAUUUAAUUAUUAAAUUUUAAAUUCUAAUUCAGCUUUUAAAUUCAAAAUCUUAAAUAUUAAAUUUUAAACUAAAAUUUAGAAAAAAAAAAAUAAUUUGCAAACGGUAAAAAUAUUUUGCCAAAUACUUUCGCAAAAUUAUUUUCAAAAUCACUUUCCACUUACACUCUGCCAAACUUACCAAUUUUAGACAAAAUGAGUUCUGAAAACCAAUAUUAAUUGUGCCAAAAUCGCUUCCCCAACUGUGAGGCCAAACAAACUUUAUUUCUAAAAAACAAACAGAAUUAUUAGCUUGCUAUAUUUAGGANUAGUUCGGGUGGAGAGAGAGAGAGAGAGAGAGAGAGAGAGAGAGAUCAAAAAACAACGAAAAAAUAAAAAAAAAAAAGAGGGAGAAACACAUCCCAAUCCGCAGAAGAGGGGCUUUCUCUUCUCGCUCCCCUAAGCUGGCGGUCCUGUCCUCGGCACCUCCAUUUAAUGCGAAGAUGAGGAAGACUUUUUUAUAAAAUAAGCAUGAUUCCGUCGCCGCUCUCCUUCGGACAGUCUUGUCAGUCGCCGCCGUGGCAGCCCGCGCAGCCUUCCUUCUGGGAGUCCGACAAUGUCCGGCAGCAUCUUGCGAAGUUGCGAGAAACAAUUACCAUCUCGAAACCACUGUAAGCCUUUUCUCUCUUUUUUUUUUUUCUUUUUUGUCCCCCCUCCUUUCUUUGUUUUUUUGAGAAUGUUUUUUUUUGUUUGGGUAAAAUUGCAUGGAUUAAAAGUUUUGAUUUUUUUUUGUUUAAAUUUUUUUUUUAUGUAUAAUAUGUAACUUUAUAAUGCUUUUGAAAUUGAUAGCUGAACUUUGAAAGUAUAGAUUUUACUAUCUAAUCUUAGUCCCUGAUUGGAUGCCACAAUAAGUUAUCCGGUGAUAAGUUGUUUGCUAGGGAGCAAGAAGGAGUUUGAUUUUUUUUUGAUAGCAUAAUUUCACCUUACAGGUGAUUUAUCUUAUUCCGAGAAAAUAAUUUGAAGGCCAAAUGAAUUCCUUUUGGCCCUGCUUGGAUGUAUGAACAUUUUAUUCGGCAUAUGUCUUUGAUUUGGUCGAAAAGCAUGUAGUAUUUGGUAGACGAGAGUGCAAUCAAAUGUCCGGAAUGGAUACCAUACUGGGCCGGCCUUCAAGUUACUUUUUUUGUUGGAAUAAGAAUAAGGCCUUAUUUGGAUGUCGGAAUAAGUUGUCCGAUGAUAACUUACUCGAUAUGAAGAUUUUCUCGUAUGUUAGAACACGGGAUUUUGAUUUUUGCUCCUUGAAAGAUCUCGGUAUCCAUGAUUUGAUAAGAUAGCAUAUUUCACCUACGUGACUUGAACGUUGAAUAUACUAUUCUUCUAUUCUAGACAUUUGACCUUACUACGAGCUUCCAAUCACAAUAGAAAGUCCUUGUACAGAAUAGGAUUUCACUGAAUAGCUUAUUCUGACGUCCAAACAAGGCCUAAAUCAUCGCGUAAAUGAAAUAUGCCAUCCUAUCAAAUCAUGGAUACCGAGAUCUUUCAAGGACCAAAAAUCAACCUCCUACUUCGUAUCGAAUAAGUUAUCAUUGGAUAUCUUAUUCUUAUUCUGACCUCCAAACAUGGCCUUCGAAGACACUUGAUUAUGCUCCUCAUCUAUCAAAUAAUACAAAGAUAGGCCAAACAAGAUGUCCAUGCAUCUAAACAAGGCCUUAAGAGUAUUUGCAAGAUUUUAUGGAAUUUUCCGUCAAGGAACAGAAUUUCACUGGAUUACAACAUACUCUAUCAAAAUGUAACAAAUACGGGAAAGAUUACGUCUUAAAAUCAAAAUUUUCAAAGUCCAAAUACCUAUUUCAGAAACACUGUAAGAUGAGGUUGUAAAAUCUAAACUUUUUUAAAAAGUUCAGGAUCUAUUUCAAACAUGUUGUAGUUUAGGAAAGGCUUGUACAUUUAGACCUAUUGUUUAAUCUGACCUCAUAUUGUCCCAAUCUUAAAAUGUUGGAUUUGAAAUGAUUUCCUUGUCAGGCUCAAUGAACUACAGGAAAUUCUCCUUCUAAGAAAAUUGAAUGAGUCCAAUGCUCAAGAAGAUUCUACCCCAGAAACUGUUCUUCAAGAGAUUGUUAACAGAAAGAGGAUUAAUCUAGAUGCCCAGGAGUCUCUUUCGAUCGAAGCGGCUAAUUCUCUAUGUUCGCAUCUUAAGCUUCUACUUGGCCCUCUUAGUUCUAUAACAAAUCAAGCAAGUCCGUGGGAAGAAAGGUCGGCGGCGGUGAGAUUAGCUCAGAAGCGGCAAAAGUCUGUGAGAAAUACGCGUUGGAGGAAGAGAAAGAGGAAACAGUUUGCUGAGCUUCUGCGCAAGGUUGGUUAUAUAAGGUGCUAUUAGCUUGUCAGUUAUUGUGCUGCUUUUUCAUUAUGUGAUGGAUAAAAAUUUGGGUGGUUUGAUGUUAAAAAGGAGCGUGAAAAUUAUGAUAAAGCUGAUCAGGAAGCUGAUGAAUGGAGGGCUAGAGAGAUUGCCAAGGACAUUGCAAGGCGAAAGGUACGGCAUAAUUUAUUAACAUUAACCACUCAUUCUAAAUUGUUAGACUGUUCAUGUCAUAUGAUAUGUAUUUUUCUGUAUGAAUGAGAUUACUUGCAAUUAUGUUUUAUGCUGUUAUUAAAAAUGGUAAGUUGGAGAAGCAGCUUCAACUGCAAUAGUUUUUGUACUUGGGUAUAUAAGCGUGUCACAUCAUAUACUUUUAGUUGAAGUUGAUUUCCAGAAUGUUUCGUUGGACCGUUACUGUUACAAGAUGUUUAGAUGUUUCAACAUGUUAUCCGAAUCAAUAACUUAUACAUUUGGCAGUUAAGAAAAUUUGUUGUCAGACUGCUAUUGUGGUAACUUUUUAGUAGAUUUUGCACUCUUUGGAUAAAAAAAUAAAGGCAUGCUGCCAGAGUUCCUGAAAUGCAUUAAAAUCCUUCAAAUUAUUUUAAAUCUGGCUAUUUAUUUUGCAAUAAUGGACUUUCUUAUGCUGCGCCUUUUCCUUAAUUUUGCUCUCUUAUGGCUUAUUCCAGAACUGCCAGCUUUUUUGUUUGUAAGCACUUGUUAAGUUCAUUCGGUUGGUAGAAUCUAAUUUUCACAUGUUUCAGAUGGAGAGCAUGAAGGAAAUUGCAAAGCAGAAAGCUAAUGAGGAGAGAAAACGACUAGAAUCUGAGGUGAGUCUUUUUAGUCAUCUCAUGCGGAUUCUUUUGGAAUGAUCUUGGGUUGGUCGUGCACUGUCCCAUGAUAUUUUUGUUGAAAUAUCUUACAAGUUAUGACUAUGUCACAUCUUUUGCUCGAUAAGAAUGGGGGCUUCCCUCACCGUUUCGAUUAAAUCUGGAAGAGAGCAUGAUAGAUAAAAGAGUUUUGUGUUCUUCAGUUAUUCAGAAAAGUAAACCCUAAACAAAUUUGGAAAACUAAACCCCCUUUGCUUGGAUGAAUCAUAAAUUUUGGGUUGUAUGGUUUAUUCAUUUCCAUUUGAUGGAGCAAUGCUAUUUUUGUUUAAUUGUAAUAACAGAACAAAAUGAGCGUAAGGAGCUCCGUAUUGUCAUUUUCCAAUUAACCUUUUUAGUCUUACAUAUUUCUGACAAUUACAGGUUCUGUCUUGUUUAAGGUGAUUGGAUAUUUUCGCUGCAUACUCGUUCGUUUUGUAAUUACUUGUUGGACGAGAUGCAUAUAUUUUUAACUUUUUCUUUCUGAAAAUAAGUUUUUACAUAUAAAUAAGGCAUCUUCUAUUUAAUGACUAUGAAAAUUCUGAUCACAUUGUCUGAUCCUAAUUCUCUGUUACACUUUCACAUUGAAACUGAUUGGUUGACAAGUUUUCAGUAAAAUCGCUGAAAGAGUUGCGGAAUAUUGUCUGGGAAUGCUUCUUAACAAAUCUAGGUGAAACCGGUUUCACAACUGGAUGUUGAUCAAUUAGUUUUUUUGGUUUUUGCGUUGAUUUUCUAUUUCAAACAGCAGAUAUGUUAGUGUGAUAGAUCAAUUUAUGCAGACUCACGUUGACUACAUGUAUGGUAUGGUGUAUAACCUUUCAAUUUUAAUGUAAUUCUGCCCCAAGUUCUAAUAAUAUGGAUUUUCUAUGAAGUUUCUGGUUUAUUGUAAAAUUAAUUAUCUUCCAAAUAACCAAUUUUGAAUUAAGUCUUUAUAGUAGAUGAAGGUUAGUUAAACAUUUGUUCAUUAAUCUGCUGAAAGAAUGAGAAUUUAUCUUGUUCUCACAUGCUUAUUAUUUCUGAAAUGCUAAACAUCCAUAUGUAAUUAUUUCAGUCCUGUAUCUUUACUUCCAGGAUCAUACAGCUUCUAUCUGUCCAAGAAGUUAACAUCAACUGCACUGUAGCCAUGAACCGGAUUUUUCUGUUUAUUCCUUCUUUCCUAAUAAGUAGCUGAUCCUUAUAUGUAGCUAAACCCUUAAGAUGCCCUAACCUGAAACUUGAUGUCAAGUUUUUGCUCUGCUUGAUAUUGCUGGCAAGCUUCUGUAUUGUGUUCUAUUUAGAAGCUCUGCAAUUUUUCCUUGCCUUUACAUACUAAGUUUGUAGUCUCACUAGUUUGCAUUUACUAUUCCUGGAAGAUAUCAUCAUUAUGACAUGUACCUUCUAAAGUUAGGUUCAUUCAUUUUCCUUCACACGAGAUGACUAAAUAUGUGACAUGCUUGCAGUACAAUUAGUACUGGUAGUAAACUCUUACUGAAUGUUUAGUCAGAAGAUGUUGAAGAAUUAUCAGUUGUGAACAUUUUACCAGUUUUGAGGAUUAUCAGUUUGAUCUUAAGUAUGCCUCUCUUUCCAGCUUGAGCUUGUCUUGGUUGUUGAGAAACUGCAAGAGCUUCGCUCCAUCAGGAUUCAAAAGUUGAAGAAACAAGGCAAGAUAUAAUCUACUUGCAUUGAUUGUUUAUACAAUCCAUUUUUUAAAAAAAUUACAUUUUCCAAAUGAAAUUUAGUUCAUUUCUUUGCUUUGUGUUGAUGGUUUCUUUCCUACAUUUAAACUACUGCUAUAGUAACUUGAUAUAUUUUCAAUUAUGUUUAGUGUAUAGGUUUACAAGAAAAUUUCAUUGUCUUUGCUAAAUCAUCCAUUUAUGGGCUGUUCCUUCUUUUCAUGACUGUUGAGAAACUGAGCCAUCAAAAGCCAUGAAAUAACCAAUUUCUCAAACACACUAAGUACCUGUUUGGAUGCAUAAACUCUUUACUCGGCAUAUCUCUUUUGUUUACUCAAGGGAGUAUGUUGGGGACUGGGAAAAGGUGUCUAAAACCGUGGAGUAGCCUCUACCUUGUUUCUUGACUAUAAUAAAUUUCCUUGGAUGCGGUGCACUAUAUUGAAAACUCUAUGAUUGUUAGGACUUUGCAUCGGAUUAAAUUGUAGUCCUUGUUUGCAAUACAAAAAAGGGGAAACAAAAAAAGAAGAAUAGACCCUGUAUCUUCUUAGUUAUCAGUAGAGCUUGCUUUGACAUCCAAACAGGCCUUAAUGCAGAUGAUGCUAUAAAUAUACCCAAAAAGGUCAAAUUGUUGAACCAACUGUGUGGAAUUGAACAAUCUGUUACUUGUAGUGGAGCUUGGAUCAGCGAUAUUCUACACAAGGGCAUUUGAUAUUUGUAGACUACGGUACAUAAAUAUUCAUUGUGUGGAGAAAUUCAUUUUCUAGAAGAUGAUCAAACAUGGUUAAUACUCUUUCUCUUUUCCCUUGCUCAAGUGUACUAUGAUGUGCUACUUCGUUAGUGUGCAUACAUUCCCAACUUUGGGCGUACUAAUGAACUUUACAGUCUAGCACCUUCCUGGACUGUAUAUGUAGUAUCAGUGAAGAAGAUUGGGAAACAACUAUUAUCUUUAAAUGCUUAAGCUGUUAGAAAAUAUUGUUUUAAUAUUGUAUCAUUAUCAAUUUUCCUCAAAUCUGGGUUUGAAACGAUAGGCCCAAAAUGUGUGCUGUGAAUUAAAUGGUCAAAGGCUUUUCACUCCUCAUUUAAACAGUGCAAGGGCCUGGUGUGAUUUGAAUUCUUUAUCUUCUCUUUAUAAAAUAUUUAGACAGUAGACUUUGUAAAAUAUUUACAGAAAAUAAGAUGACGCUUCUUUAGCUGCUCUUUAAUUUUGAAACUUUGAUAAUAUGCUAAAUCUUCUUUGGCAAGGGUAAACAACUUUGAGAUAAUAUGGUUGUGUUAGUUAUGACCUAUUUGUUGGUUAGCGACAGCAAUGUUAAACUACUUUAGCAACACUCUCUUCCCUAUAUUUCCAGUUAUCAAAAAGCAGCAAAGUAUGGCCUAUUAUCAUUACUAGUUGUUAGCAAAGUAUGAGGAAAGCGAUCAUUCAUUUGACAUUUAAUGCAGGCCAUUUUCUCCCUGAGGAGGAUGAUAAAUUUCUUGACCGUGUGCGAGCUGCUGUUGAGGAAGAGGAGCGACAAGCUGCAAAUGCUGCUGACAAAGCUGCUGCUAAGGAUGCUAUCACAACUGCUGAGGAAUCCAGAAAAGCUAUUGAUGAUAUGGAAAAACAGCGCAAUAAAAUUGGGAUCACAGUGGACCAAAACCAAACAAAUGAGAUGAAAAAUGAGAAAAGUUCCGGGCUAAGUGGGAGCAUGGAAAGUGGAGAUCUAAAAGAUGAAGGAAAAGUGAAUGGGGAUUAUCAGUCUGUUGCCAAUCUGCCAUUUGAGUUCUACCACUAUUAUCAUGGAAGUAGCAAUGAUAUGGGAACGCUGAUCGAGGUGAUUUUCUUUGACUCUUGAUGUUCCUUCUUUUUAGUGAUGUGGACCGAGUGAGUUAAAGAACUAGUUGAUGUCGUGAUUUCGCUUGAACAAUGUGUAAUAUAUCCAGAUUCUCGAUAUCUGAGCAUUUUUUGGCGCAAACUGAAGUUGUUAAAUGCUUCACUGACAGAGAUGGCUGACAAUAUAUUGGUGAACAGCUUUAAAUUAUCAAGCAUUUCUGUGAUAUUUUUUUAGCUUGUCAUGUAAACCCAGAAUUAUUUGGAGGAAGAAAAUAUUAAAAAAAGGAUCUAGCACCAUUUGGGUGAAUGUUGGCAAAAUUUCUGUCAUUUUCCUCUCAUGCUUCUUGUUAAUCUAAUAGCUUCUCCUUCUAUUAAUGUGACAUUCGAAUAUCCUAAGAGUGCAUUAUUUUAUUUUUCUCCCUCCGUAAUGCCUGUCUAACUCUCACACAACCUAAUAUCACUCGAUCUUAAUUUCAGGUCCGAAGAAUGUGGGACGCGUUCAUAAGACCAGGAGGAAGGUGAGUUCGACUCAAAUUAGCUGUUCUUUGAGAGAAGUUGCUACCGGAAUGUCCCUUUCAUUUCAAUAAAAUCGUAUAGCAUAUCUACCAAGUUAGCUAAAACCAUAAAGUGCUGCCAAGUUUUCACCCCUAGGGGUUGGGUAUAUUCCUCGGCUGUUUCCCAUCAUGUUAGUCUUUUAGGCAAAAUGGUAUCACGGCCAACUCCAAACUCUUUCUAUUUGUUGAGAUUGUGGGUUAAAUCCCUUGCAGCAAUAUCUAAUGGUUUAAGCUCCUAUUUCUUACUUCAUCUAUCAAUUCAACUCGUCUUUCAUAUCUAUUAUGCAUAUCAAUGGGGGAGCUUAGUAUGUUCCUGAGCUGAUUAAUGUCUGAUUGUUGGGUAACAAUACGAUCCUCACAACCAAGGAUUUCUGAAGUAAUACACCAAAAAGAUUUUUUUUGCCAAAUGCAUGGUUAUGCGUCCUUCUUUGAGGGAAUAUUCUACAAUUUUUUGUCGGAAACUUUCAAAUUCUAACAGAACUUAAAUGGACUUUUCUGAUAUCAAAACUAAUGAAAAGUUAAAUAGCAAAAUCAAAAUUUUACAUUUUAGGCACCCAUUUGCAAAUGCCUUAUAGUUCAGGUAAGAUUUGUGCAUUUUCCCCUGUAUUUACUUCUGUAGCUCGAUAACAUUAGAAGGUGAAUAUUUUGUUGGUGCAGUCGAAUACCUGGGCACUGGGUCCAGCCAGCACCUCCUGCAGAUGAAGUGUGGGCUUCAUAUCUUGUGCGGCCAAAGUAAUAGAAAGUAAACAAUAUCUAACAACAGGUUCUUCUAAACUUCGCUCCGCACCCUUGUGUGAGUAAUGGAAGGUAAACAAAAUCUCGGCAGUUUCAUAUUUUAUCUGUUGCUUUACUGCCCCUGUGAGAAUUUUUAUGGAACUUGUUUGUACCAUUGUGCAGUGAUAGUGGCCACGACAAUGCUGAAUGAUGGGCUCAUUUGACUGGAUUAUAAGCAAUGUGUUGUGCUUGCAAUGUAUCCUUCCAAAAUAUUUUGUGUAAACUACAUGCAGAAGAGUUGUUAUGAUUGUUCUGCAAAUGAUUUUAAGUUGUGGUGUUGGUGAUUCAAGUUCCCACGAAGCGGUUUUCUUGUCAAAGACCCACAACAAGUAAUGUUAUACUGAAGCCUAUCGAAUCUCAACAAAAAACUUUAAUUUCUACACAAUAGUUUUUCCAUGUAGAAUUAAUUAAGUACUGCUGUGGCGGAGCUCAACGCCAUCAAUUGUCUUGACCUUUUGGUUGUAAAUUUCGAAAUCGCAAAGGCAAACCUAAUAGCUGUUAGCUUGUUACUAGAUGUAACGAAGAAAAAUAGUAUAAUAAUUGCUUUCCUGUAUUCUUAAUGUGCUUAUGGUAUCUUAUCCUGUGUUCUUGUUGAUAACAGCAUUAAAGUUUAUAGCUUUUGGUACUAGUACUUUUCCGAAUUGAUAAUCCAUGGACCACUGUGAUAGUGUUAUUGGGUUUUCCUAUUUCAUCAUUCCACUGUGAGAUGGCCCUCAUUACUGACUUGGUUGAACUGGUUUUUUCUUAAUGCUGCUCUUUUUACCGAACUUUUGAGCAUUCGCUCUUUUAUUCUUAGUGCAUAUUCGCUUGGCUUUUGAAAGCUACUGCUCAGAGAUGGCAAGCAAAUACGAGGCUCGCAGAGUGCUUAUUCGUCAGAAGCACUUAUCGCAGAAUUGCUUCCGCUUGAUUCUUUGAAAUCUUUUCCGUUUCGCACAAAAACAACUCAAUGUGCAUCACAAGUGUGGUUAAAUAGGCUCCAGCUCUAGAAUAUCUUUUCCAGUUGUGGGCUUGAAUUUGAAGUUUCUCUGCUGUACAGAAAAGCUGCUGCAGGAAUUACAGAAAAAAGGUGUUAGAACUUCUUCAAGCACUUCUGCACAAAACAGUUUUAGCUCAAUGUCAUCAAUUCAUGUAUAAUGUGGACUUGAAGAUUAGGCAACAAGCUCUUAUAACGGCAAAGUAGGUUAAAACACAUUCUUUCAUCAACUUUUUGCAACAGCAUCUUUGCUUUUCUCUCUCUUUUAACUUUAUUUCAGGUCAUUCCUAUGCCCUAAUAUUCCAGUAGCAAUAUUAUUUUCCUUUUGGAGAAUGCUCAAAUUUCAUAGAUAGUUAAUCCUUAUCCAUAAAAAAGAAGUAGAACUGAAACUUGAUCUGCACUUGAAAGCAACAAAUUUUAUACUCAGAAGUACUUUCACAUGGACAAGUGCGUGUGCUAUGAAUGAUCCACCAAAUCAAAAUUGGGGUGCUGUGUGGGCCAGUUAAUUCCACCAUCUAUUGAAACUUGGGCCUGGGUAUGAUAUCAUUACAGGGGUCUUAUGUUCAUCUUUUUCAUUUUUUUUUGAUUUAAACAUUUUAUAUAAUGUUCUUAUGCAUUUUUGGUUGUACAUGUUUCCACCUUUAUGUACUCAGCUAAUAUUGUGUAAUCAAGUGAAGCUAUAAUACUUCCCGAAGUAAAUGGUGUUGUUUAUUUCUGCGUCAUUUACAGUAAUGGAAAUGCAAUCCAACCAAUUCAAACAUUAAAUUUUACGAUCUUACGAUAUCAUUUAUUUAGUGAACGACUGACCUCAAAUUAAUCUUAUAUUUUUCACUCAAAAUUGUCAAAAAUCGGAGCCACAUUAAUUUAGAGUUAGUAGCACCAAUGAUUUAACCAGGAAUAGGCUUCAAUACUUUAUGUUCAAACCUUUUGUCAGGGUCUAUUUUGGUUCCACUGAAUAUAUUGCAAUGAAAUACCAUUUAAAUUAGCAUUUUUUUAAUCCAAUAACUUUUACCGUAUAGGUAAAAUGAUCAAAUUCGAGCUUUUGUAGUUGGGGUUUGUUUGUCCCAUUAUGUAAUCUCGGCUACUAAUGCAGAAGCAUGUGUACACUAGGGGGUGGCAAUUUAACUCGCUGUUCGCGAACCAGUUCGUAUUCGGCUUGAAAUGAGCUCGAGAUCCAAUCGUUCGUUUAGUAGACGAACAAGCUGAAUUUUUCAGCUCAUUUAAUAAACGAGCCGAACACGAGUUAGGGUCAACUCACUCGUGUUCGGUUCGAUAACAGUUUUAAUACAUAUAUUUUAUAUUUAUAUAAUAUACAUUUAUAUAUAAAUAAAUAUUAUAUUAUACAAAAUAUAAAUUUUUAUUAUUUCAUUUAGGCCCAAUCUAAAUAUAAAGCCUAAUUUAAUUAAAAUAAUUUAUUUAUAUGUAAAAUUUUAACCAGAUAUCAUAAAUUUAUUUUUCAUAUAUAUCCUUUAUAGAGUCUGGGUACUGUACUCUUAUGAGUAUAAGCUCUUUUGUACUCAUAAAUUUUCGACCGUUAGAUCUAGAUCAUACUAUUCAACCAAUCACCCACUAAAUUCUAAAAGACCACUAUCAGCUAACCGCACAUCUCUUCAUCCAAUAAUUGAAAACUUAUGAGUAUAAAGAAGCAUUACUUAUAAGAGUAUAGUAGCUGUAGCCUCCUGUCCAAUUCCUUAUCUUGUUGUUUGGGAGCCAGCUCGAGUUCAGUUCAUGUUCAGCUCAUUAAACACGAGCUAAAUUUUUCAACUCGAUACUUUAACGAAUCAGCGCGUGUUUUAGUCGUUGACACCUAGUGUACGGUGGCUCGUUUGUAAAUUAAAAUUUUAAAAAUUAAUUGGAACUCAUUAUUAAAAUAAUAAUAAUAAUAAUAAUAAUAAAAGGAAAUCUAAGCAUCCUUUUCACACUGUUGAGCUGUUUGGAAGGCAAUAAAUAAGUGGCAAUAAAUAGGCCACUGUCGACUGCGCUCUAAACACCCCUUAUUUAUAACCCUAGCAUAAUUUUAAAAAGAUAAAAAAAACAUGCAAAAUUUGCCUGAAUUAUUGAACAUUUUAAUCAGACUAUUAAUUUUUUAAUAUUUUAAUUUAAUUAUCUAAUUUUUUAAUUUAUUUGAUUUGAAUUAGCUAAUAUUAUUUUGAUUUCAAAAUUGCGAAAAUUGCUUGAAGCAUACUAAUUAAAUUUGCCAGAUAAAUAAUAUAUUCAAGUUUUAAAGUGAAAAUAUGGUUGACUGAUUCAAAUCAAACGAAUUGAAAGGUUAGCUAGUAAAAUUAAAAUUUUGAACAUUGGGUAGUCGAUUCAGAAUAGUUCAUAGUUCAGAUAAGUAUUGUACGUUUUUGUACGCUCCUAUUGCAAAGUAUAAAUCUUACACUUCAAAAUCUUUUUUUGUAAAAAAAACCUUUUUUAACUUUUCUUGCAUUAAAAUAAUUAAUA
rnacentral:lncRNA from 1 species